UGCUCUCCCUUCUUCCUCGUUCCCUGCCCCUCACCAUCCUCCAUUCCACCCAACAACCAAGAAGAGCAAGGCGUCAGCCAUGAGCAAGGACUGCGGCAACCACGGCGACGACGACCUCCGGCGCUCGUGCCGGCGCCUCCUGGCCAUCCUCCUGUUCCUGGCCUUCCUCGUCGCCAUCAUCGCGCUCAUCGUCUACCUGGUGCUCCGCCCCACGCACCCGCGCUUCUUCCUGCAGGACGCGUCCCUCCGGCAGCUCGACCUCUCCAACGGCUCCUCCAACGUCCUCUCCACCACGCUCCAGGUGACCGUCGCCUCCCGCAACCCCAACGACCGCGUCGGCGUCUACUACGACCGCCUCGACGUCUACGCCUCCUACAAGUACCAGCAGAUCACCGUCGCCGCAUCGCUCCCGCCAGUCUACCAGGGCCACGGCGACGUCGACGUCUGGUCCCCGGUCCUCGCGGGGCCCAGCGUCCCCUUCGCGCCCUACCUCGCCGACGCGCUCAGCCAGGACUGCCAGGCGGGGUACCUCAUCCUCCAGGUCAAGAUCGACGGCCGCGUCAGGUGGAAGGUCGGCAGCUGGAUCUCGGGACACUACCACCUCUUCGUCACAUGCCCGGCCUUCCUCGUCACCAACGGCGGCAACGGCGCGCCGGGGGCCAGCGGAUUUAAGUUCCAGACCACCACCACAUGCCACGUCGAGGUCUAGAGACUUUGGCGGUGUUCCUCCACGGCGCCGCCGGCGAGGUAGGUGAGGUUCCGUCCCUUGUGGCUUGCGUCUGUCUCCCUGCCUGUCCAUAGCGGAAGGGGAAAAAGAAAAACAGAGGACGCAAGCAGAGAUCAGAGUCAGGCGAGGUGGUAAUAAUCGAUCGAUACCAGUAGUCGUGAUUCUGCCUGCAGUGAUGCGGGUGCGUAUUUAAAUGUAAAGGAGGGUAAUUUUUCUUCCGAUUUCGGUAGGGUUGAUUAAUACGAGUAGUAGUACGAUCGAUCAAUGGUCUUAUAUACAGUACUUCACUAUAUAUGUGAUGCCUGUUCAUCCCAUUAGCUGGUUGGAAUUACUGUUGUUGAAGGAAGCUUAAUUGUUAAUAAACCUUUUUGAUGCGGAAUUAAAGGGGUACCGAUUGGCAUGGCCGUUUUCAUGGGAUUCCGGCUGGUUGAUUACUUGACUUGCAUUUCCUUCCUUUUUGGAAUUUCAUUGUUGUGCUUUUUUCCUUUCAAAUUCAGAAAAAAGGUGUUUUUUUUGCUGUAUGGUUGGCCUUUGUCUUGCUUGGUCUUGGAGCGGCGAGAUGAUGUUGGUGAUGAUCCUAGCAAGCAGCAGCAGUUUCCAUUAGUUCAUGGCCGAAACGAACACAAGUAGUGCUGCAUGAUCUGGGGUUUGGAAUUUUGCCGGGGGGGCAGGGAGUUUGGUGGCAACCACCAGAUCCGAGGCAGCAGUAGCUCCGAGUUGAGUUGAAGCCGAGAUUUGGUGUGGGGAAACCCAAGUACACACAUGGGGGGACGACUCUUCCUUUCUUCCUUGGUGAUCCAGAGCGUCAAAGCGGUGGUUGAUCACUCUCACUCACUCAAGUCUCUAACACACACAUGGGACGGCUUGGGAUGGGCCCUGAUGAUACGAUCUUCACUUAACCGGUAAGAAACCUUGGGAGAAGAAAACCAAUUGAGCAUGUGUGCUAGAGGAGUGUGGCAGUUGCCGAUGCAUGCGCUGGCUCUCGCAUGUGGAAGCAUCUAUUCUGGCACUGAAAAUUGCUGGUAAUAUCAUUUGGAACUUUGACUUAGGAAUCUGUUCCUGCCCGUAGUUUAAUCAGUAGCAGCAGGCUAGAUUAGACAAGUGACCUGGCAAAGCUUUUUUAUCAGAAUUACUGGAAGAAAGCCUUUUCUUUCUUGUUUUCCUCCCCCUUAGUGCAUGUCUACUAGUAUUCUUUGUGCCAUUCUUUUUUCUUUUUUUUUUCUCAACUUUUGCACGGAAAGCUUCUUUUUUGUUGGGAAGAAAAGGGAAUAAUAAAAGUAUUAAUAAAAUGAGGAAUCAUGGUGGAUGGAUGGGAUGCAGGCAGCUAGUGGCCCCUGCGUUUGAUGUGCCCGUGGCCCAUCCAUGGCUGCAGCCUGCAGCGAGGCAUUCAAUUUCUCUGAAAACCAUGCUCCUUUCGUCAGACAAUGGACCAUUCUGAUUUCUGAACACAAUACUCCACAAAUGCAGUGUCCGUUAAAAUACAGGGAAGGAGCAGAAAUGAACGAUGAGGGUUCGGGAGCCCAAAUGGCAUGAGAAUCCCGCGUGCAUGUGCGUUGGUGCGUCGCUUUCCGUUGCUUCCUUCCUCCGGGCUGCAAUGCCAUUGCCAUCCCGCGGCUAAGCAACACACCACCUUUCUGAGCGGCCGGUCGCUUGUCUUACCUCUUCCUUCUCCUAGAGUAUUUGUUGCACGAUGGGAUGGGAUGGGAUGGCUCGGUGCCUUCGCGUGUACGCGCGCACCCGAUGGAAUGGUGGAAAGCAAUCGCUUCCUACUAUGCUCCCUGCUCGGCUCCAUGCCCAUUUGGUGGUGGAGGAAGAAGGAUCGGACGUGGCACCCGCCGUGAUGCCAACCGGUCAUCAUCUCGGCGUUUAAUUGGUUUGGUGCCACCGAUUUAAUCUGUCCUUAGCUAGGCUUUGUAGAUGGCACGAUCGUGGCAGUUCACUUGGUCGUUUUUAUCGAUCACAGGGCAAGUCGACCAAAUCACCCAACCCAACCACCACAAGGGCUAACCGCUCCGCUUAAUGGGCUCUUGAUGACAUGCCUCUUGGUAAAUCAGUCCCCAAAGUGCCACUUAUAUUACUGAUAUAUACUAACUGCUAUAGAUUUUGCUUGGAGUGCAGAAGAGAAUGCAAGAAGGAGGCGAGUCUCCUUCUGCUCGCCGACCUCUCUGGCUUGGGGCAGGAGGCGACUCAAUGCGCUUCCACGACUUGGCCGGCUCUCAGGCUUGGGGGCUGGACGCCACAGAUGACUCGACAAGUCUCCUGCUGCUUGGUCGACCUCUCUAGCUUGGGGCAGGAGGCGACUCAAUGUACUUCUGCGACUCGGCCGGCUCCCAGGCUCGGGGGCUGGAUGCCAUAGACGACUUGGCGUGCCUCCUGCCACCAGGCCGACCUCCCAGGCUCGGAGGCAUGGUGCGGGAGGUGACUCGACGUGCCUCCACGGCUUCAUCAGUCCUCGCGCUCGGGGGCUAGGCGCCUACUUCGGGUCGGCGUGCCUCCGUGGCUCCGCUAGUCCUCACACUCGGGGGCUCGGAGGCUGGGCGUUCACUUGACGUGCGUCCAUGGCGUUUCACAGGAUAAAGACCACAAAAUCAUGGAUUUUUCUUUGAGCAUUGUGCAUCUUCUCGACAACCAGAUGACGAAAGUACUCGGGCAAAGCUUAUCCAACUCGGCAUUCGUGUCAGGCUGCCGUUCAACUCCACAUCGCUCGGGGGCUUGACGGUUAUAGAUACCCGGGUACCUUCAUGGAGGGCCCAGCCAACCACUAAUGGGCCGGCCCGACUUGAUAAAGGCAAAAGAUAGAGUUCGGCUAGGGUUCCCCACGUGUUGUAAUCCGACUAGAUCUCAUCUAUAGUAACCGAUUAGGGUCCUGCCGUGUAACCCUACCCCUCGGAGUAUAUAAAGGGAGGUAGGGGUAUCCCUAGGAGGGGAACUGAUCCAAUCCCUCAACACAACAACCACACCUGAGUGCAGGGUGCGGUACAAUCCUCAAAACAAGAUAUAGGAUAUUACGCUACACUGGCGGUCCGAACUUGUAUAAAUCUCUAUAUCUUAUGCCUUGCAUUACCAUCAAGUUCAUAGUCUUGCGAUUCUCUCUGCUUACAAAUCUACCACUUGGGUAACUUUAGUGGACUGAACAGGCUACUAAAUCCGACUAGUGCAAGAAGCAUCAGGGCCUAACUAUACUGGUUGCCAUGGUCCACAAGUCCAGUUAGGUGAGCCAACCCAAAUUGAAGAAGCGCACAGUCGAUGGUCUUUCCCCCAAGUGUCUGUACCCUCCGUCCCUUAGGGCCUGUUUGGAUACAGGCUCAUAAAGUUUAGUACCAGUCACAUCGAAUGUUUGGAUACUAAUUAGGAGUAUUAAAUAUAGUCUCAUUACAAAACUAAUUACACAGAUGGAGUCUAAUUCGCGAGACGAAUCUAUUAAGCCUAAUUAGUCCAUAAUUUGACAAUGUGGUGCUACAGUAAUCAUUUGCUAAUGAUGGAUUAAUUAGACUUAAUAGAUUCGUCUCGCGAAUUAGUAUAGGGGUUCUGCAGUUAGUUUUAUAAUUAGCUCAUAUUUAAUCCUUCUAAUUAGCGUCCGAACAUCCGAUGUGACCCCUCCUAAAGAACUUUAGUACAUCGCAUCCAAACACCUCCUUAAUAACCGUCGCUACGGAAACGAGCUGCCUCACGCUUCCCAAGCUACCACGGAGGGAGUAUUUCCGGACGCUUGAUGACACUAUUGAUGGCUGCAGUACAGCCCUGCUCCUGCUCCUCGCAAGAAUAUAUAGCACCGAUCGUCGACUCACCUGUUGCGUGAUGAUGAUGAUUUGUCCUCCGCCAUGGCCAAUAACGACGUGUACGAUCGAUGAUCUCAUAAACUGAAUAUACAGUAACAGCACACAUUUUGUUCCUUGAGAUGAGGAAAGCACGCGAGCAGGUGGCAUUUUCCUUUCACCGAUCGAUCGAUCGAUAGAUGUCAACUGCAGCUAAUAAAAAGGAAAAAAAAUGACGUGGGGAAAUUGACCGGUGUAAAGAAGGAGGCAGGCAGGCGGGUCGAGGGACCGUUGUUUUCAAACUGGACGCGACGGAGUACUGGCCUUGGAAAGCUCCGUUGUUUCUUCUCCUCCUCCCAUUAUUUGUGUCAGUGCAGCGCCGGCGCUGCUCCAUUCCAUAUUUCCAUCGUCCAAUGCAAUCGGAAUCGGAAUGGAAUGGUCCUGCCAGGCAAAGCAGCCACCACGCACGCCUUUCGAGUUCCCUUUCGGAAUUGGUGAGCUAACUUCGAGUACCACCAGUUUUCUUUCUUUCUCUGAGAGGAACUUUAUUCCCUCCUUCCAAAUUACUAAUUAUUUUAAUUUUUCUGAAUACACAUCUUUUAAUAUAUAUAUCUAGAUAUAUACUAACAAAAGUGAUAUAUUUAGAAAAGCUAAAAUAAAUGGUAAUCAGUCAUCUCACUCAUCAAUUUUUUUUGAAAAUCCCCACUCAUCAGUUAGUAAAGACUACUAGAGAGGAAAUUCGCGGUGAUAUAAAAAGGCCCACUCCGAGCAUUUUCUUCUCCGCUAGCUUGCGGAUGGGCCAACGGGAACUGUGAUCUCAACCGGAAUCGCGCGCGUUGGAAGCCCAUCAGGCUGCAAAAGGGCUAACUGGGGCUUUCCCUCGCGCAUGUUUUGGACGUACAAAAGAGGCUGGGAACCUCGGGCCGAAACUUAAGCCCAAGGAGCCGGGUCAACCAAGAGAACAAGAGGUAGAGCGUGAACCUCUCCUGGCCUCACGGUCACCAAGCUAACCUAUAUGUGCAUCGUGAGAGCGCAAAGCGUCAACAUAUCCACCACAAAGUAAGCAGCUCAUACAACAAACAUGGCCAACAAGAAGAUGGUCGCCGCCGUGGCGGCACUGCUCCUGGUCGCCAUGGCGCUGGCUCCGGCGAGCGCCAUGGACUGCAAGGCCGGGUGCGCCGAGCUCAAGGACUCCCCGCUCGGCACCGCCGACUGCGAGAAGAAAUGCGCCGAGAUCGCCGCCUCCACGGGGAGCCGUGACCCAUGGAAGGAAUCCAAGUGGGACAUCCCGUAAACACGUCGCCGGCAAUCACGCAGCAGCAGCACAAGUCGACGUCCUUCACCACCGUACCUGCCCGGCUACACCCGCAAUAUAAUGUUGUUUCCCAUUUCAUUUAAUUUUCUGCCUGACGGCUUUUUAUUGUGUUCAUGAACAAAGUCAGAUCCACAGAUCGACCGAUCUGUAAUAUAUAAUGUGCAUUUUUCCAAUGUCGAUCAAGAUGUUUGUUCAUUUUGUACGUACUCGACAGAUACAUUGAUCCAAAUGCAAUGGAGAUGGCUUUAUUUAAAUUUUGUUUUCAAGCCAUCUGGUUACAUGCGUAUUCCACAUGGAUGGAGUGCAGUAGAUCCUCUGCAUACUUGUGUGACUUGUGAACGGUCGCAUGCAUUGCCAAUGAUUGUACCGAGUGCUGUACCUUGGUCCGUUUUGGUCUGAUCUGGCCAAACCGGUGCAGCACGCUUGGGACAGGGGCAUCGAACUCGAAAGUCUUUCUGACGUAAAUCCAAGGAAAUGCAAAAUUCUUCGGCGUCCUACGGAAGAAGACGUGAUUUUAUAGUGAUACUUUCCUGAAGAAUGAAAAUUAGAUGUUAAAUGACAAAUACUAGCAAAGUUGACAGUCGUACGGCAAAUUUUGCUAUGAACAAAUGCCGUGAGAGAAUUUAUUAAGCAGAUGUUAAAAUGAGAGAGAAAUAUCUUUAUAAUAUAUACCAACUCUAAGGCUAUAUCUUAUUAAUCAGAAACGUUGUCCUCUGGAGAAUAUAUAUAAGGGGCCAGAGCUCCGUGUAUUUUUUUUUAAAAAAAAUAGCUUUGCUACUGUUUUCCUCAUCACGGCACACGUGUCCUAGCGUUAGGACUCUUCCGUUUUUACUUGCAACUGAGGUAGGAUUUUAGCCUGUAUAGUUUGCUUAGGACCUUCAAUGUAAUCUGGUUAUGACUAUUAUCAUGUUUUAUAUCAUCCAUUUCUAUAUUAAAUUAAACAGAACAUUGCUCGUAUAUCCGACAUUGACCCUUCACCCAUGCAUACGUAGCAUUUACUUUCCCUACUUGACUACGCCAGCACUCAAGGAAUAAACAAAGACGCAAGAAUUUGAUUCGUCCAAUGCAAAAGUGCUGCGACAAAGGGCGAAGCCGACAGUGCAGGUGCAGUUGGUGCGUGCAACUCUACUUCGCCUCCAUUUUAAAGUAUAGAUUAUUUUACUUUUUGAUACAUCUAGAUAUAGAUUAUAUUCAGAUUCAUAGCAAAAUUUAUAUGAUCAAAACGACCUGCAUUUUUUAAUGGAAGGAGUAUCUAAUAAACUAUCGUUGCCAUUGUUGUCAUAGUCAAUUUAUAUGGGUAUACUCCCUCCAUACUCGCAAAGGAAGUCGUUUUGGACAAGACUUGGGUCAAACAUUGGGAAUAUAAAUCAUGAAUAACUUUUAAGUUGUUGAGUUUGGAAAUGUGAAAGCCAUAUAAAUAGAUUUGUCUUGAAAAAUACUUUCAUAAAAAUAUACAUAUAUCACUUUUUGAUAAAUAUUUUUAUAAAAACAAGGAGUCAAAGUAAUACUUUGGAGACCGUGUCGCUGUCCAAAACGACUUCCUUUGCGAGUAUGGAGGGAGUAUAUAUAAAGGCCAACUGGCCAAGUCUACUCCAAAUCUCCUGCAUGCCAACGAUCAUUUUGUGCAUAUUUAUAUUUCGCGCGUAUAAAAGUUUGUGUCCCACUGGCUUUUUUCUUUGAGACAUGUGAUUGAUUAGAAUAUUCGAAACCCUGAUCAUUAGCUUGGUAUUAAUUCCCCAGCUCCAUAUCACCAAUACAUAUAGCCCAAACGGCCGAAACACGCGCAAACUAGCGCUCCGGCCUUCCCAAACUGAAUCAAGCAGCGAGGCAGCGGCAGCAAGCCCCUCCCUCCGCCACUCCUGUCAACCAUGGCCAACGGCAGCAGGCUCGGCGGCGGCGCCGCCGGGGGGUUCUGCAGAGGCUUCUGCGGGCUCGUCUUCGUCGUCGGCUUCAUCGUGCUCCUCUACUGGGCCAUCUUCCAGCCCCACCACAUCCGCGCCACCGUCGAGACCGCCACCCUCUCCAACCUCACCGUCUCCAACGCCUCCGCCGCCGCCGCCGGCGUCUCCUACCACCUCGCCGUCAGCCUCGGCCUCUACAACCCCAGUGUCCGCGUCAACAUCUACUACGACGCCAUCUCCGCCGAGCUCCGAUUCCGCAGCGCCGUCAUCGGCCCGGCCGCCAACGACACCUCCCCGUCCGUGUUCUACCAGCUCGCCAGGACCAGCGACGACGUGCAGCUGGAGUUCGACUACGGGAGGCCGGGCGGCGUCGGCGUCGGCGGCGACGUCGCCGGGGAGCUGGAGAAGGAGGUGAAGAGCGGGGGGCCGGUGAGGUUGGAGCUGCACGUGGACGUGCGCGUGAGGUACAAGUUCAGGAUGUUCAAGCUGCGGCAGAAGCCGAGGAUAUGGUGCUCGCUGAGCAUUCCGGUCAAGGCGGAGGGCCGGCGCCGCGGCGUCGGUGGCUCCGUUGCCUCCGGCGACCGGUGCAGGGUCAAGUACUGAUGAAUGUUGGUACUUUUGUGCUUAAUUUCUUGCUUGGAGAGGUGAGCUAUUCUCAAUUCAAUUCGUGCAAAGAUAGUCGUUAAUGCUGUUCGUUAUCUUAACUCUGGUAUUGUUUGUGAAUUGACAUUUGACAAUAAGAUUCGUAAAAAUAUGAGGUACCUCUUCAACAUCAGUAUGUACAAACGAUGCAAUGUCCAGACUCGUAGAGUAUAACAAACUUAUGGCAUGCUUGUUUCUUGAUGCUUGCAUAGUACAAUGUGUGAUGCGUCUAGAUCUAUUAUACAAGGAUUGGAGAUGUGAGUAUACGGUAGUCGUCAUACAGCGCAAAGAACACAAGGUGUAUACAUGUUCAGGUUUCGCAGAGUAUAAAGACCUCGUAUAAUGUUUGUUCCGAGUCAACUCUCGCUUUAACAUGGUUAUCCCAAGAUUGUAAAUAACUUACUGCUCUUCUACUAUAAUGAUAAGGCAGAGCACCUGCCGUAAUUGCUCAAAUAAGAACUACUUCUAACUUUAUUUAAAGUCAAACUAUUCUAAGUUUGACCAAGUUUAUAAAAAAAAUAUUAACAUAUAUCCCAUCAAAGAAAUAAAUUGUAAAAAAUAUACUUAAUGAUAUCCAUUUUUGCCAUAAAGUAUUAAUAGUCUUUUCUACAAUUUUAGUCAAAUUUAGUUUGACUUAAGUCAUAAGUUCUCAUAGUCAUAGACGAAUGGUGCUUGACCAUAAAGAGUUUGACCAUUAGGUGACCAUAGGCUAACCUUAUGACAGAUGCAUGAACAAUCUUCAAAAGAUAACCUAGUCAGAUGGAGGUCCUGAUUGCACCGUACUUAGUCGUAGACUGCUAGGUAUGCAUAGCAGGAUCCUGCAACUGGUACUGUUGUACAUAACCUUCGUGCCAUGUUUUGAUUUAUCCGUAUUAUAUCAUCAUAGCUGAAUAUUCAUCAAAUGGUCGAUAAUGUGCGCACGCUUGACGCUUCUCACCACUGACAUUUCGUGGGGCGUGUCACUAGAACAUUCCAAACCCUGAUGGCCUGAUCACAGGCUUGGUAUCGGUUCCUGUAGCUCCAAAUCGUCAAUGCGUAACACACGCGAAGUAGCCCCCUCCUCCGUCCGUCAUAGUAUCAACCAGCUGCAGUGCAAUUGCUGCACCAACCAGCAGCUAAGCUCCUCCCCCUGUCCAGUGUCCACCAUGCCCGGUGGCGGCGGCGACACAACGACACAACGGCACCUCCCCGUCCGAGUUCUACCAGCGCGGCAAGACCGGCGACGAGAUGACGCUGGAGUUCUGGGUAACAGCAGUAUAAAGCUCCCAGUAUAAGGCCCUGUUUGCUUCCGUUUCUCUCAGCUAUGCUCCAUUACAAUCUAAGCGAAUAUUUUUUUACUUCUCUUUCUCGCUUUUCCCUUCAUGUAAUUCAAAUAUAUGAAGCGGCUUACCAUGUAAGCGAGAAUCUGAAAAAAUAAGCAAGACGUUUGGUAGGAUUUUUUUGUUUAUUUUUGCUUAUAAGCGGAAAUAAAUAAGACCGAAGGGAUGCUUUUUGUCGUUUGUUGGGCUUACAGGCCGUACAGGCGCGGCCUUUUCUGGUGCAGGCCCAUGUAUUCCUUCUCCCAUCUUUUAUUUUGGCCCGCGCAAUAUGGGGAGCACCGCGUAGCCCAUGUGGCCCAGGCCACCAGAAGAGCAGAGAGCAGCCCAUGUCGCUCGCUGCGGCGGCGAGGAGGCGUGGGCUGGAUCGUCCUCUUCUCUCUCGUUCCCGGCCGGUUUUGCCGCACCAAGUCAAGUCACUCCCGACCCAAACUGAUGUUCCUAUCACCAGCUAGCUUUGGCCAUGAGGUCUCGACAGCAGGGCAGCGCUCAAGGAAAGAAAACACAAAGACCUGAUGGUAGCGUGCACAUGCGGUUUCGAAGUAGCCAACAAGUACGUCUCGCCCAAUAAACCAAGCGACCCAAUGGUACCAAGGGUUGGUCAAGGUCAAUUCAUAGAUCCAAUUGAGCAACCAAGACGCAGCUCAACUCCGAAAUGCUAACCGAAGUUCUAUGCCGCAAGCUUUGAAAGUACUAGCCCCUUCACGCAACUAUCUUAUUUCCAUUCCCCGGCCAUUCGAUCAUCCAAUUAUGUUCGCUCAAUUAUUUGGACUUCGUGGGGUAGAGGGUGACAGCAGCGGGCGAGCUAGGGCGGUCAACGGGGGCUAGCAAACAGGGUGUGCUUCACUCGAAAAAAGAACGACAUCGGGAGGUUGAAGACGAUACGGAGACGGUUAGAUUGGAAACGUACGGCUGUCCUUCAUUCUCCAUCCUCCCCGCCCGCUCGAAAUCACCAAUAAAUAUAGCACAAACGGCCGUGCAAACACAAACAAACUGCCCUUCCCCGCAUCGACCAACAACCAUAGCGACGCGGCAGCAAGCCAGCAAGCUCCUCCUCCUCCUGCCCUGUCCACCAUGUGCUGCAGCGGCGACAACUGCUGCCUGCUCAAGUGCUGCGGCAAAUUGCUCUUGUUUCUCCUAUCAGCCGGCUUAUUCGUGCUCAUCUACUGGGCCAUCUUCCAGCCCCACCAGAUUCGCGCCACCGUCGGGUCCGCGACCCUAUCCAACCUCACCGUCUCCUCCGCCGGAGAGGUCUCCUACAAAUUCGCCGUCAGCCUCAGCCUCUACAACCCCAGCGUCCGCGUCGGCAUCUACUACGACACCAUCGACGCCGAGCUCCGCUUCGGGGACGCCGUCCUCGGCCCGGCCGCCAACGGCACCUCCCCGCCCGAGUUCUACCAGCGCAGGAAGACCAGCGACGACGUGAGGCUGGAGUUCGACUACGGGAGGCCGGGCGUCACCGUAGGCAGCGACGUCGCCGGGGAGCUCGAGAAGGAGAUGAAGAGCGGGGGGACGGUGAGCCUGGAGCUCGACGUGGACCUGCGGGUGAGAUACAAGUUCAGGAUUUUCAAGCUGCGCCAGAAGCCGAGGAUAUGGUGCUCGCUGAGCAUCCCGGUCAAGGCGGAGGGCCCGGGCCCGGGCGUCGGCGGCGCUGUUGCCCCCGGCGACCGGUGCAGGGUCAAGUACUGAUGAAUGCUGCUGGUUGAGUGGACUUUUUUCCUUUUGAUUUUGUUUUGGCGAGUAAAUGUUGGAUGGGCAGUUGUGCGCGUUUGUGCUUUCUUUGCUUGGAGCGAGAUUGGUGAGCUCAAGUUAAUUCCUGCGGAGGCAGAGAUCGUUAUUGUUAGUGACGCUAUUCUUGAUAUGAUGGAACAUUCAGUGUAAUAUUGGAUUAUUCAUUCAUUUGGGAGUAUAUGGCCAUGUUUAGUUUCCACCAAAAUCCUAACUUUGGCACUAUGCAAAAAGAAGAUUCCCCAUCACAUCAAACUUGCGGUAUAUGCAUGGAGUAAUAAAUGUAGACGAAAUCAAAAACUAAUUGCACAGUUUUGUUGUACUUUGCGAGACGAAUCUUUUAAGCCUAAUUAGUUAAUAUUUGGACAAUAAUUCACAAAUACAAACGAAAUGCUACAGUUGCGCAUUUAUAAUAAAAUAUCAAUUUUGCCACUCCCAAAUUGGGAACAAGGCCUAUGUAUAUGUCUAUAUAUAACGCGUGCAGUUUUGUUUUUUUGCUGGCUUCAGCGCCUUCAGUAUCUGGUGUAGCCCGGGCGCAGACAUACAGCCAUACAGGGCUGGGGCCCUGCAAAACCUCGCAGUCCACGCAUGCAUUUGCUCCGCCGCGCGCGACAAAACCUCGCGGCUUCGAAAUGAAUCGGCGUUCCGGACAGUGCGUGCGGCGCACGAAUGUCCCGUCCGUCCCCGGCCACUCACCACGCGCGCGCGAAGGCGAAGGCGAUUAGGCGAAUUCGCGGGCUCGUCGGCUUUCCUUCCUCGCACGUUCCGGCCACCGCGCGUGGCGGCGUCGCGCGAGCGAAUUUACCUGCGUCCAACGCGUCGGGGCUCCCGGCGCUACGCGUCUCAGCCGCGGCCCCGACUCCGCACGCGGCUGGGCGCCACCGGAUGGACCUAGAGCCCGGGCGGAGACCUGAGCACGCCCCAAGUCUUCUUCUCCGAUGCCUAAGGGGGGAGAGGAGCGGUUGGGUUGGGUACUUGCCGCACAGGGCGCACGCGUUUUCUUUUGUUUUUUCGUUCCGUCACGCCCCGAAGCGGCGAAGCAGCCCAGAAACAGGGCUCGUGCCCAAUAAACUAGUGACCCAACGGUACCGAGGGCUGCUGGUCAAGGUCAAUUGAUAGUAAUUGUACUAACACGAUUCCAAAACUGAACAGGCAAGUUGCAGCUACAAUGCCAACUCCUAAAUCAUAUUAUAAUCUCAAGUUCAAAUCUUGGAACACCAUCUCUCUUAGCAUGCAAAGCCACCUACAUUCCAUUUUAAGAGAAUCAUAAGUAAGAUUGCAUUAUCCAUUAGUCCUGCGUGUUGCCACAUAUCUAUAAAACUUUUUGCCAAGACAAUUAUAAUUACCUCUCGGACAAACUUUUACUAAGCUUUUGGAAUGCUCGUUAGCCUUAUAUUUUUCAAAGAAGCUGUAUACCGCACGCACGAGUGCUGGAACCCUCUCGAGCACUCGAUUUUUAUGUCCGUAGGAUCUCGUAUCGAUGGCUCAGAUCGAUCCUUCUCUCUCCUCCUUAUCUCUUUAUCACCUUCCCCAUCCGCUCGCCCGAGAAGGCUCCCGCAGCCCGCAGCCCCGACGGCGACGGUGCAAGCCGGCUCGCCCCCGUGCUCCACCGCCACCAGAGUUGCCGCCCUCCACCACAGCCCCGCCUUAACUCUCCCAGUGUUGCCCCUAACCAUCUUCUUCCUCAAAUCCGGUCACGCUCCCCUGAUGCCGACGACUGCCCUCUCGGCUUCGGCGGCACAACGUUGCCGCCGACACUAACCGAUUGAAGCUCGAUGCCCCCGCCACCUCCACCGCCCAACCGGAGGUCCACCACUGCUGCCUCACCGCUGUCUCCCCUGCCACCACCGCCCGCUACCCUGCCGCACAGAGCUCCCUCUAAGUUCGCCGGACAUUGGUAAGCCCCAACCCCUAAACCGUACAACCCUAAAAGCUCAUUGGCAACCCCUAACCCCGAAGCCUAAAGCUCGCCAGAUGAGUCACCAUUGCCGGAGGAGAAGAGAAGCAAUGCGUAUGUGAUUGGUCAGAAAAAUCAAGUGUUGAAGCUCUCAAAAACACUAGUGUAGUUUAGCAUUCCCUCUUUCAAAUGUUUCAAUCGAAAACACACACAUCAAAAAAAAAAGAAAAAACGCGUACACGCUUCUGAAAAAAAAAACCCUCCAAACAUUCAAUCAGUACGAAGAAGUACUGAUAAAUAUCCCAAGAGGCCAAGUCAUCACAACUCGCACCAACUAGUCCACCAACGAGCUCACCUCCCCCUCCUCCUUCCUCCGGCCGUUGACCAACAACUCCAGCAAGUGGCACAGAGGCAGCACAGCAAGCUCCCCCUCCGGCCUCCGUCUCCUGCCCACCAUGUCCGGCAGCGGCCGGAGCCGCGAGAAGACGUGCUGCAGCAGCUGCUGCACUCUUCUCAUCUCCCUGGGCUUCGUCGUGCUCAUCUACUGGGCCAUCUUCCAGCCGCACCAGAUACGCGCCGCCGUGGAGUCCGCCGAGCUCUCCAACCUCGCCGUCUCCAAUGCCUCCUCCCCCGUCGCCGUCACCUACCACGUCGCCGUGAACCUGAGCCUCUAUAACCCCAGCAAGCGCGUCAACAUCUACUACGACACCAUCGACGCCGAGCUCCGCUUCCGCGGCGCCGUCCUCAGCCCGGCCGCCGCCGCGGCGUCCCCCUCCGAGUUCUACCAGCGCAGGAAGACCGCCCAGGCCGUGCGCCUCGAGUUCGACGGCAAGAGCGUCGCCGUCCCCGGCGACGUGUCGACGGAGCUCGAGAACGAGGUCAAGGGUGCGGCGAUGCUGGGCCUGGAGCUGAGCGUCAACGUGCGGGUGAGGUACGUGUUCGGGAGCAUCAAGAUACGGCAGAAGCCGAGGGUUUUGUGCGCGGUGAGCAUCCCGGUCCCGACGACGCCGGGCGGCUUCAGCUUUCUUGGCUCCGGCGACCGCUGCUGGGUCAAGUACUGAUGAUUGGAGUCGUCGGUCCAGCUCCCUUCUCUUGGUGGUUUCUGAUUGGAGAUUAGUGGCCGGUUUUGGUUUUGAUUAUUCGUGCAAAGAUUGCUACUGUUUGGGAAAUAUACUUGUUCCUGCAUUUGUAUUUGCCUUAGAAUUUACUGUGCUAUUGGAUUAUUUGUUAGCCCGGUGAGUGGUUAUAAAGUUAUAAAUCACAAGAACAUAUGGUUGCUUCUCAUGUCGAUCUUGUUAAACUUGAACAUGCGCUCUUGCAUUUGAUUGGAGGCUUAGCUUGACCAACCUUGUGAUAAAUUGUAUUGGCAGUUCAUUGAGCUCAUGGUAUUAACGUCUUGGCUGGUUAAGAUGUAGGGUCAUUGACUUGAUAUUGCUCAAGUCAACACCCGGCCAUUUGUGCAGAGGAUGGCUCUGUUCGUCCCGUCGAACAAAAACAUCCACAUCGCCUGGCUGGCAAUGGCAAGGCCACGAGUGGUGUUCAGUCGACAGGUCUCUCCAGGACCAGCAAAGCCGACCAGGAGUACAGAUGCUUGCUGUCUUGCUGACGAUAAUGAGCUGUUCUGGAUUUGCUCGCAGUAGAUGGAGACGCACAAUUUCAGGCGAAACGGCACACCGUCUCACCAGGCGCAUCCUCUGCGAGGAAGGAAGAUUCAGUUUCAGGGGAUUCUUUUUUGCCAGAUUCUCGUAAAGUACCGUCUACCGUUCUGGCAAACUUGCCACAAACGCCUGACUUUGAAUUUGCACUUUCUUGAAGGGUCUGUCAUACAGAAUAGUUUGGGCUUUAAUAGGCCGGCUCGGACAAUGGGCCGAGUUCACGUUUUCACCCCGAACUCGAAAACCGUCCGUUCUGACUCCUAGUACUCGCGAAACCGGACACGUGACCUUCUUUCUCAUCACGAAUCCACCCUGGUUUUAUCCGACGUGGCGCCACGUCAUCGUUCUUAUGUGGCAACCUGUAUGAUGGGCCCCACCCGUCACGUCAUCCUCUUCUUCAACCUCUCUUUCCCUGUCUCCUUCUCUCCCUCCACCCGUCUCGCGCAGGCGCCCAUGCCGGAGCCCGCGGCGGCGAUGUUGCCGGCGUGCCCCACGCAACUACUCCAGCCCCGCGAGUGCCGCUCCGGCGCGUCGCCGCUUGCUGCUCCCCCGCCCGAGCCCAAGGCCGGAGCCCCCUGCAUGGCAGCAGCCAAGAGAUGCGCGGGAAUGAGAGUCAAGGGGAUGGAGAGGGACAGCAACGCUUCAAUUGGAGCGCAUCAAGCUUGAUUCAAUGGCGCUGUUUGUCGAUUUGAUGUUCCUGAUGCUAGUUAUGGCUUGGCUAUGCUCAAUUUGGCGGCUCGUUGAUUUGGCCAUCCCCUAGGAUGUGCUGCGUUGCGCCCGCACAGCUCGCGGGAGAGGGAGGCCUGGAGCCGGCGAUGCAGCCGAGCUGUCUGCGACGGUGGGAACAAAGGUGACGCGGCGAUCCUUGUGGUCGCCGGAGUUGGGGUGAGCGGCUGAGUUGGAUAGCACGGACGGCUGCAGAAACCAGGGACGCGUUCCGCGUUCGCGGGCGAGGCAUGAAUGCAAGCACGGGUGCGGCCGUGCGGGCAACUCGAGGAGGCGGGUUCCUCCAGCCGAAGAUUACGGUGCUCAAGAGGAAGACCAGGAUGAUUCCGUCUGGCUUGUGUUGGAUGGAUUUCCUUUCGUUUGUUUCCUAGCUUGUUUUGUAUGGAUUUCCAUUUCCAUGUCGAUUGCUUAAUCAACUAACGAUUUUAUUCCCAAUCCAAGGGAAAUUGACAGAAGGGCCACCGGAGAUAUGCUCGUCGUCGUACGACAGUUGGGUGGUCUGAAGCUCGAUUUGUUGUGAUCUAGGAGUACAAAUCAUUAUACCAGCGACGACCGACGAGGGAGAACGGUCUGAUCUCCCUUUCUGCCGUGUCCGCCGCUCUGGGCCGCGCUCUCAUGGUCGCCGCUCGGCCAUGGCCGCCGCCCUGGCCCGCGCUCUCAUGGUCGCCGUUUGCUAUGGCCGCAGCCCGCAGCUAAGAGAGAGCCAGAGAGGGCAGAAGAAGAUAACGGGGAUGACAGGUGGGGCCACCGAGAAAGUUGCCACAUGGGAUGCGUGACAUGGCGCUACGUCGGUGAAAACCGGGAUGCAUCCGGAUCUAGGUGGUCCUGUAUCUGGUGGUUUCAAGAGUUCGAGGAGGCGAGACGGACGGUCUUUGGAUUUAGAGAGGAAACGUGGACUCGGCUCAUAGUGAAAGGAGGUAAAUAUGACUUCUUCCUUUUUUAGUUGUUUACUUGGGCUCCCACCUCUAACUGGGCCAAACUCAAAGCAAUUAGUAGGCCGUCGUCUCCGCACGUGCGUCAAGUAGGCCAGUACAAUCUCAUGGGCCACAUUAGGUUCUGAGUGCCUUUCUGGGCCGAAGAAGGUUCCAGUGACGAUAAAUGCUCAUGGCCUCAUGGGCCAUAUAGGGGCGUCUUAUUCCGAUUCCUGAAAACAACGUCCAUUCUAAUGGUGUGGCCAGGGACACUGGCAAGACCUGCGCAUGCACAUGACAUUUUCUAUGAGAGUGAGGUGAGGUCCAUUCCGGCAGGCAGCAGCCGCAUGCAUUGCACAGAUAGCCCUAACUUCGAUGAUGAAAGAAGGAAAGCAAAAGGGCUAAAGCCUUGGGGGAUAGUUCUUUCCUUUUCCUCCAAGGCUGGCCAAGUGGAAAUUUUGUCUGCACUCGCCUCUUGCACGCAGCCGCAUAGCUAUCGGAGGUUGAAGAAGUCUGCAAACUUGUUCCUGCUACUUGACUGCAAUCGGUCGACCUGCUUUUCUUGUAUACUGAGUACCGAUGACCAAUAGAUCGAGGCAUGUCAGGUGCAAAGCAAACGCUUUUGCAUCGUGUCGUUUUCCUCUUUGGGUGUGAUAUAUACUCUGCUAUAUACUCCUUCCGUUUCAAAAUGUAGGCCGUUUUGACUUUUCUAGAAACAUAGAGAUUUUGCUAUGUGUCUAGACAUAACUUUAUAUUUAUGUGUAUAGUAAAAUCUAUACCUCUAGAAAAGUUAAAAUAACCUACAUUUUCGAACGGAGAGAGUAUACAUUUCUUGCAGUAGACAUGCAUCCACCGUAUGCAGUAUGCUACCAGCUAGUAUGACUAUAACAAACCAACUAAAGGAACACAUAUAUAGAUCUACCAUGCAGCUGGAUUUUACUUGAAUAUGGAGCUUUCCAAAAUAUAAUUUGUUUUAGUUCUUUUAUCUAAAUAAAAAAUCUCUAAUUCUGAUCAGGCCUCUCCUCGUAUAGAAAAUUUCAUUACGAGGUGCUCCCUCCAUCCCACGAAAAGUACAAUCGUAAUCUUAGGAAUUGGACUGCAAUUACUGCCUAAUUAAGUGGUCAAGCUAACUCUAUGCCAAAAUUUAACUUCCGGGGACAAUGGGAUAAUACUGGAUUCGGAUUUUUUUGAAAAUGGACACCACCUUCAAAGUGUGAAGCAAAUAAUAAAACACAUAGGAGUAUCAUUUGAGAAACAAAGACCACACGCCUACACAUGCAUGAUCAUCUACGUGGCAUUAUAUAUCCUUUGCACGUCGCAACAAGCUUUUUAUUAUUGCUGGUCUCCUACGUGCAAAGAUGUCAUUCAAGUGCUUUAGGUAGCACCCAAUCUUAAUAAAGUCUAGAAAAUGCUCAUUCUAAUAAGAAACUAUUUGUAACUGGAGUCGCUUGUUGCUAAGGUUUACAGGGAAAAGGUUAGCUAUCUUUGCCAACAACACUUGUCUAGAGUUUGUAUACAAAGUUGGGAACACUUUUGAAAGGUAGGGGAAAGGCAAAGUCUAAUGAAACAGACACCAACAUUAUCUCCAAACACCAGUCCACAUCGUAAUAACUGUAUAAAAUAAUGGCAUUGUGUGUCUGGUUUGGUGUUCAAUUUAGGGACUUUCUCUUAAUGAGAAGCCACCUCCCAAAAUCCCAUAUUUACCUGUUCAUUUAUCAGGGGAUGAAAAAAAGUUGUGUUUGCCAUUUUUUAGCGAGGAAAGGAAUUAAAGCCCAUUAUAUAUUACUCAGAAGCAAUGUUACAUUCUCGAGCGAUAAUUUUCUCAACACAAAUUGGAAGUUGUGUUUGCCAUAUGAUCCUACCGAACAUUGAAACCUUUUAAUUUGAGUACAAAUGAUGAUUGGGCCUAAAUAGGACCUUACCUUUUGAUUCCACACGAUAUUCUCUGUAGAAAAUCCAUAAUGACAAAAAUGACGGUUAAAUUUCAUUUCCUGGUGGAAAAAGUGUAAUAAAUACCACAUACACAUAAACCAACAAUAUAAACAGGAAAAUAUAAAAUCCCAAAUAGCGUACAUGCACUACUGGAAGAAUAAUGAUAAUGUAAAUGCGUAAAACAUAUUUUUUUUUGAAAGGUCACGGGGGAAGGUCCCCACCUGAAUUCAUUCAUUCAUUAGGCCUUGGGCAGGCCAAAGUCUUACAGCUUAGGAUUUCAGCAUGGGGGAAAAACCUUUUGUUUACAAUCAGUGAUUUACAUUGAAUUAAAGAGGAGGCACCAUGCUUCAGGGAUCGAUUUUUCUUCAACUCUGAACAUAUAUUUAAAACAGGAGGAUGUAUAUACUACAUGUAGAGACAAGAUACAGUUUGACAGCUCCUUUCAAGAAGAAAGUAGUAUGGGGCUUCUCCCCUUUUGAGAUAGAGCAAAAGGUAGUAGAGGUAAAAACACAAAAGCAUAACGAGAUACACACAAUCGACUGUACAGACUACAAAGCUUGUGGAAAGAAUAGAUGGUCACGGGAGGAAAGAGAGAUGCACAGAAUACACGGAGGACAGUACACAUGUCGUCAAUUUUUACCUCUGAAAAGCAGCAAACGGCAAGUGCCCUACUUACACCUGGUUUGCGUAUUCUAGUGAUCUAUAUCAUCAGAUGUUGGGUGAGGGGCUGCUGAUAGAGGAGAUUAAAUAUAUCUUUCUAGGAUUCUAAAGCAUCAAACUUUAGGGCCUAAUGACCAGGGAGAGAUGCUUAUCAACUUUGAUCUCCUGCCUGCUUUCCUCCAGCCUAAGCUUUUUCACACCCACUGCUUUAAGAUGGCAAUGCGGAUUUGGAGAUCUAAAGCACGAAAAAGAGGAUACUUUUUUUUUCUUUUUUUCUCAAAUGGCAUCACCAUACUACGCACUAAAAGCAUAUACCUUUUGGUCAUCUCUACUGAAUGAAAGAUUUCAGCUCGUUGCCUUGUAAAGUGCCGCCUCCUUUCUACAAACCCGAAGUCUUUAAUCAUAUCAGGACAACACAUCGAUACCAAAGAAAUACACUGUGAUCACCACUCCAAGUACCGAAACAUUGUGUUUACGAUUCUACUGAUCGAUUCAGGUGAAAUGAGAAACCACUAUGCAAGCCAUCUCUGGUUGCACUUCAUACAGUUUUGAGAUUCAAGCAUGCUAGAGUGGAAACCCUCCUCUAUCUUCUCCCCCAUUACCUUAUCCAACAGAAAUCUGAAAGGCAAUUCAAUAGGAUAUUAUACUACUAGGGUGUUGCUCGGACAAGUAGUUGGGAAACCUAGCCAAUGGAUGCACGACUGCACGAGCAUAUAUGCUCAGUUGUUUCCAUGAAUCACACCAAAUAUAAACUGAUAUGAUGCUUUCUUGAGUUAAGUAUAGGUGAUAUUGUUUUAACUUUGACCAGUAGAAUCUUUGUGAACGUUUAAAUUGACCAUAUGCGCGAAAAUGGCAUUUGUUGUUAUCUCAAGAAAACACUUCGAUAACAUUUGCCAUUCUAUCAUAAUUGUAUAAUAAUCUUAAAGCGAUGAAUCUAGCAGGGAAUAGUAUGUGGAAACAUGGAAAAACAAAGGAGCUGCAUGUGCAUGGUUUUUGUGCAUGCUCUCAAGAAAUCUUAUGGCGGUUCAUUAUACGCAAUCUGUAUUUUCUAGAUUUUGAAUAGUUUGGCUGAAACAGUGUCAGUGUACGUCGACGGCGACGGAAGUUUACUGCUGUUGCGGUACUAUGGUUAUAUUAGUGGAUGCCAUUUUUUUAUGAAUGGAUAUACAAGAUGGCCCUUGUUUACUUCGCGAAUUUGGGAGGUGCCAAAAUACUGUAGCAACACUGUAGCGUUUCGUUUGUAUUUGUGAAUUAUUGUCCAAAUAUUGACUAAUUAGGCUCAAAAGAUUCAUCUCGCAAAGUACAACAAAACUGUGCAAAUAGUUUUUGAUUUCGUCUACAUUUAGUACUCCAUGCAUGUACCGCAAGUUUGAUGUGAUGGGGAAUCUUCUUUUUGCAUAGUGUUAAAGUUGGGAGUUUGGAGGUAAGAGAACAAGGGCAUGAAUAGUUUGGCUUGGUCCUUGGAGCUAGCCUGACAUCGCACAAUGCAACGUUCAUGAACUUGGCUUUUGCUACUCCUCCUUAAGUUACAAGAUGCAUAGUUUCGCUAUGUUUUCUUGAAAAAAAUAUAUAUUCAAGACAAACAAUAUAGCAUCAUCAGCAACAUGUAAAAUUGUCAUCAAUUGAAGCAUAGCUAAUCACACACUAUUUCUCAGUUAACAUUGGAAGAAGAAAACGCCAUCCACAGCUUUAAGGAUCUCCAUGUCAUUAGGCGGAGGACUCCUUUCCUCCCCUUCUCCGUCCAUGGCGGCGGCGCAGGCGUUCAAAUCCAGGCCGAAACGUGGCACGUCUCCUUUCUCUGUGCCAUCCUCUUCCACCUUGCUGUCGACGACGACGUCACUCAUGACACGUUGCUGCUUGACCAGCCGACGGGAGGAAACCCUAGAACUCGACUCAAACACUUCGUCACAGCUCACUACGAUGGCGUCCUCCAAGCUGACCGCGUCACCAUCGCAUCCCCUCACAGUUCCGGUCGCCAUGGCGUUCUUGAUACCGUCUUCUGAGUCGUGCUCGGCGCCGUCGAUCAUCACGACACGGUGAGGGUUAUCGCGGAUCGUCUCGUACAACCUCUGCAUGUAGCCGUGCUCGUCGUCCGGCGACCUCUGCCUCUUGAGGCUGUCGCCGGAGUUGGAACCGGAGGGAGCCAAGGUUAGCUCUGGUGCGGUGAUGCAGGUGAACUCGGCGUAUGAGCCAAACACAAGCCUGGCGAGCUCCCGGGCCAUCGCCGUCUUGCCGUCGCUGUCCCUCCCUUUGAAGAGCAGCCACGUUGUUGCUGAGCUCGGCCGCGUCAUCCUUGUCACGCCGGAGCGGCGCUGGAGCACGGCGCUGGCGAUGCCCGGAGCUAUAUCUCUGUGGCGCGGGACGCGCGCCUCGAGUGCGCCGCACAGAAUCUUGAGGUUCUCCGCGGUGAGCUCGGUGAACUUCCGGCGGCGGCGAGCUGCAGGUUCCGUGGCGCCGUCCGAUGAGUUGGAUUUGGACACCGAGUUAGACGAUCCUGGAUUAGGGCUCGCGAUCAACUGCUGAUCGCAUGAGUCAGCCAUUGUUGGACCGUGGUGCCCGUGGUUCUGCAAGUGCAAGGGUUGCCGCCGGCGGUCGAUGAGAUCAUGCCGUGGCUCACAGCUCAUGUUGGCGUCGUGAUGGGCAAAGCCGCUGAGGGAGGAAGAGGCCGGAGAGGAGAAGCUCAGUGUGAGCUCCGAUCCGGUGGGAACUGGACCUUGUUGCUGGCAGCGGCGAAUCCACGAGGGGACGCUCGCCGCCGUCGCCAUGGCCAUAUCGGCGGCGCCGCAGUGUGUGAUCUCACUGAAAAGAACAAAUCCAUCGAUGUAAUUAAAAUCGUCCAGAAACACGUUGACUAACCGAAAAUAAAUAAACAAAAUGAUCGAAUUAACGCGUGCAUGCGACAGUGACACGCUGAUGAAGGAUCAAGCGCUAGUCGUGUGUACCUGUCGCCGGCGAGGCUGCCGUCCGGCACGAGGAUGGGGUGUAGCUCCAAGACGGCCUCAAGCGAGGGCUGCCCCGACCUGCAGCUCGUGUAGGACGCGUAGGCUGAGAAGCCCAGCAGCCAGAACAUGUCGUGGCCGCGGCCUCCGCCGCCGCGCACCAGGUUGCUCAGUUCCAUGACCGCGUGCUCGACGGGGCAGUAGUAAUAGCGGGCAUGCCCACUUCUCUUCCACGAGGCGGCGGCCCAGGCCUCGGCUGCGCAGGCGAGGUCCUCGAGCACGAGCACCACGCCUUUCCCGGCGGCGCGGGCCUCGCGAAUGAUCGCGCGCAGGUCGCCGGCCCUGGCGUCCACCUCCUCCCUCGGCAAGCGCUGGAAGGACGCGGCCGAGAAGGGCACGAGCUGGGCAUUCUUGAGGCACUCGUGCUGGAGCUGCAGGUCCCCCUUGCUCACCUUGUCCAUCACCGCCUUCACAACUCCCUCCGCGGCCCCCGCGCUCUCGCCGACGACCGCCACGCACCGGCUCCUCCAGCUCGCCAUGCAGUCCAGCACGCGCGCGGCGUCGCCGGCGGCGUCGGCCUUGGCUUUAUUGGACUCCCUGCUGGGUUUAGUAUUCGGGGAGGCGGCGCUGGUGGUGCUGCUCGCCGUGUUGGACGACUGCUGCUCCGGCGACGAGGCCGCCUUCUCGACGUUGGCCUUAACCUCGGCGCUGGAGAAGCCUGCCUCGCGCAUGACGCGGCUGACGCCGGGGUCGUCGAGGAUGGAGAUGACGAGCUGCUCGAGCUCGACCCUGGCGGCGACAUCCGCGGAGGUAGAGCCGGCGCCCCGGCGCUGGUUCGCCUGCGCGCGCUUGAACGCGGCGGCGAGCGCGUUGGACAGCGUGGGCGCGCGGUGCCCUCCAGCCGCGUGGUGGGCGUGGAACUGCUGGAACAUGGCCGGCGCCGGGGGCCCCGCCGUGGCGAGGCGGUUGAGCGCGACGUUGAAGCAGAGCUCGAGCGCCUUGCACUGGAGCGGGUGGGAGCUCGCCCGCGACCGGAGGCAGGCGGCGCGGAGGAGGCCCCCGGCGUCCGCGAGCAUGGCGCUGGCGGCGUGGAGCGGCGUGACCUGGGCGUGGCCCCGGCGCCGGGCCAGGCUCACCGCCUGCCGCAUCACGGCCGCCGCGUCGGGCGCCAGCUCCUGCUGCACCGCGCACCCGCCGCUCCGCAUCUCCUCUCUCUCCUGCAAGUACGACGCCGGCCGGCCGAACCCUACGAAUCCACCAGCUUGAUCUUCUGGCGGCUCUGCGGUACGUGUGCAGAUGGACGCAUGCAUCGAGGUUUAUCUGCUGCUAUAUGUCGCCAUGGAACGCAGCGAGGAGACAGGGAUCGGAGGAGUAAUUGAGCUGCCUGCGCUGAGUGUGUCGUGUCGUCCGUCAUGCCUGUUCCUGACUGGCUGACUCAUACUAGCAGAGACGACUGUGAGCGACUGACAGGGAGGACGGUUCAUGAGAUUCGCUUGAUCGUUGCUGUCGGGAUGUAUUAUGUACUGUACAUAUGUUAUCGGCUUGUGACGUCAUACACACACCCCAUAACACGAAAUGCUAAUUUCCAACUGGAUUUAUUUGUAUUUAUAAGGUGGUAAGUGCAUUUAUUUGUACGAUAUGGUGUGGUUUUUUUUCCCUUGCUUUCUGUAUGCAUUCUGUAUGCAUGAGCUGAAAUAUCCUGUGCUUUGAACGAGCACCCUAGAUACUGACGGUUCAGGAGUGCGUCCACCUGAACAUUUCAUUCGAAGGAUCCGACGGCCGGCAAUGGCCGUGGGAUGAAUUUUCAAGACGGCCAUGAUGCCGAAGCGACAGAGGAGAAAAGGUGAGGCUUCCAGGGGGAGGUAUCGACACGCCUGGAUGUACUUCUACCAGCUACAAAUACAAAUCCGAAAUUGUAGCCGGAGCAAAAGGAACUUGGUUGUCUAUUUUCUGAGUAAUCAAAACUUCUAGAUUGUGAGCGUGUGUUUGCUCAGGUUGUACACAAUCAUGUAAUAUAGGCUUUAGGGUCUGGUUGCACGCUAAUCGUGCGUUGUAUUCAAACUUUUCCUUCUAAGAUACGUAAACAUUUUCCGGCUUCCAAUCAUCAUCCCCUAAUAAACUAUUGUGAUUGAGUACGUAAACAUGGACAUGCAACAGUUGGAUAGCAGCUUAUAUAAGUACAGACCUCCCUGAGGACGGGUCUGAAGUGACUGCAUCAACGCAGGUGAAGCUAAAUCUCCAGUACAAAUCUAUGCAUCUGCCCGGCCGGGGUCCAGAACCCGCUGGACAAGGUUGACCCCUGAAUACUUGAUCGAUAGUGGUCCAUGCGUAAUACGGAGUACUCGUUACCCUGUUCUGCUACCCAUCUAACUUUGUGAUUCGAUCCAUUGCAGCAAAUCGUGGUUACGAAUUCGUCUCUGGCUAACCAAGCCUUAAGCUAUCAUUUUGAGUGCAAAUUCUAUGUAUAUACCAGCUGGCUGGAUGUCAACUCAUUCGGCCUGUUUGGCUGGACUUAUAAGCCGGCUGAAACGGCUGAUUUGUUGUGAGAGAAAAAUAUUAUUUGGUGGCUGAUAAGUCAGUUGAUAAGCUGAAGCGAACAAAGCCAUUUGUCUUGUGGAUCUGUGCUCUAACCAAGUUGGGUCUCGAAGAAGUGCUAUAAGGAUGGCCUUGUACAUUGUACUCCCUUGAGGAUCCAACGUAUUUAUUAUCCUGGUGUGCCGCAGAGCUCGCGCCUGACUCACCGACUGAUUGCAUGCGGUAGGCAGUAGAGUUGGCAGUGUGCACAGUAGCUCUGGUCGAUGGCGCAUCAGGACCCGCCGGUGAAGCUGCGGCACGUAGUACGGUAUGUACGCCCGGCUCCCAAAAUCAAUUGCACAUUUUUCAUCAUGCCUCGCCCGGCCCGGUGCGUGCGUACAUAAUAUCCACGUCAAAUCAACUCACUUACGGGUAAAACGUUGCCUGCACUCAAGCUAGGAAGACGUGAAAAUAAUGAGAGCUAAAAAAACGUAUAUUCCCUUCUAGUAGUAAUUCGUUUCUUGUUGGCGAUGGAUUAGGCUUUAGUGACUUUGAUGAUAUGGCCACAGAGCUUUUUCAUAAAGUAAAGAAAGACCGGCCACCAAAAGACCAUGCGUGGCAUUUUCUGACCGAAAGCUAGCCCAUCGGCAGUACAUGCAUUAUACUUGAGGAAUCACUUUUGCUUGUUUCAGCCACAACCUUUAAUUUCUGAGUGAGAGGCAACCACAAUAUGCCAUUAAACUACGUCCCCUCCUUUCGGGUAAAAGGGUACACUUCGCCAUUUCCUUCUCCGGAAAAACUAUAAAAGCCAGCAUAAUCGUCUUUCGGUUUUUUUGCGGAAUAUACACCUUUGUGUUAACAGAAAGAUAAUAUUCCACAUAGCAUGCAUAUUUGAAAAAAAGAACUGACACUAGGAAAAAGAAAAGGAAAAAAAUACCUGAAUGUACAAUUGCAUAUGUUUAUCGCAUUUCUUUUUUUUUUCCUGAGCUGGAAGGUACCUCCAUUAAAUAUAGGCCGACGUAAUGCUUGCGGCCACAAUGUAAGUUGUAGCAUUCGUACGGACCACUGUCAGGGUCACAAUAGGACGUACUAAUGUGCUACCACAAGGACAUCUACAAAACUUAAUUUCUGUGAAAAUGUGACAUCACAUGGCGCUGAACCAAUCAAGAGCUCAAGUACGUACGUGUUCAGAGCUGACUCUACAGUUAACUGCAUCGGUCUCCAACUCCACCCGUAUCAUCCCAGAGCAUCCGAAGCAUACAGCUCGGAGCCCUGUACAAGUAACAAGUGCCAUAGCUUUCAGCUUGUAAAGCAUCAGAAAAAUGCUCAAGUUUCUUCGGCUCCUGAACCCACCACAGCACUCUCAGAUCAUCUGUAUCCCCUGAGAUCACAAUUCAGCAUCAAUGUUAAUUUUCACCUAUGACAUACUGCUGCUUUAAUUGUGAGUUUUGUUUCUGAUCCAUGGGAGUCAGGAAGCUAAGCUUAUGAAUGAGGGAAUAUAUUUUUCCAGUGCUAAGCUUCUCGUCACUGUAUCAACACACGUAAGGCCCAGUUUUGCAACCAUGCAAAAUCUUUGAUCUUUAUAAACGGGCCCUAUCAUAAGCUUAACCGAACAGACGAACCUGUUGUACCAGCAAGAAGGCCGAAACCCCCAAACACACACACGCGCAACAAACUCACUUACAGCCCAACAAGUCCAUGCACUUGCUGUAUAGGACCAUCAUCCCGGAAUCCACACACACAUUUCUUCCCCCACCUUAUAACUGAGCCCAUAACUAACAUGGCCUGGCCUGGAAUUGAAAGAAGCGCAUCUCGAAGCCCAUAACGGGACGCGACGAGCCGCCGAGAUACUGCAAAGCGCUGGCCCGGGACCACGACGCCGACCUCCUCCGCGCUCUGCAGUACAACGGCAACGGCACCCUCCACGGAGAGCAGCAGGUCCUCAAUUCGCUCUCCGACGGACCGGACGGCGACGGGAGGAGCAAGAGGCCGCGUAUCUGCGCCCGGGACUGCGCGAAGCCGAUCAUGGAGCUUCCCGUGGAGGAGCGGGUGAAGGUGCUCGACCUCCUUCAGCGCGACGACGCGGCGCUCACCGUCUCCGACUACAACGACAUCCUCUCGGCGCUGGCGCGGGCGGGCGACCACGCGUCGGCCGUCGCUCUGUUCCGCGCCAUGCCCGUCGCCCCCGACGCCCACUCCUUCGCCACCGCCGUGCAGUGCCUCUGCCACCAGGGCGCGCCCGACGAGGCCAAGCUCGCGCUGGACGAGAUGGUGGUGCGCGGGUUCCGGCCCAGCGUCGCCACGUUCUCCGCCGUGGUGGGGUGCCUCUGCAAGCGCGGCCGCGUCACCAAGGCCAUGGAGGUGUUCGACGCCAUGAGCGCGCUCGGGUGCGAGCCCACCGUCCGCACCUACAACAGCCUCAUCGGCGAGCUCUGCUACGUCGGCCGGCUCGAGGAGGCGCUCGACCUGCUCAACAUGCUCAAGGGCUCGCCCAAGACGCCGGACAUCUACACCUUCACCAUCGUGCUCGACGGCUUCUGCAAGGUCUGGCGGACGGAGGAGGGCACGGCCAUCUUCCACGACGCCAUCGGGAUGGGCCUCUCGCCGACCAUCUUCACCUACAACGCGCUCCUCAACGGCCACUGCAAGGAGGGGAACCCGCUCAGGGCGUUCGCGCUGCUCAUGGAGAUGUGCGGCGGCGAGGGCGCCUGCCUGCCGGACAAGAUCAGCUUCGGCAUCGUGCUGACCGCGCUGAUGCGCGCCGGCGAGACCGCGGUGGCGUGGCAGACGUACAAGCGGAUGGAGCGCGCCGGGUUCGAGGCGGACGGGCGCGCGCUGGACACGCUGGCGCGGGGCCUGUGCCGGCGGUACGCGGCGGACGCCUCGGCUCUGGGCGACGCCAGGGAGGUGUUCGCGAAGCUGGUGGCGUCGGGGCACGAGCCGGUGUCGUACACCUACUGCCUGAUGGCGCAGGCGCUGGCGCGCGGCGGCGAGGUGGACGCGGCCGUGGCGCUUCUGGAGGAGAUGGUGCGCAGGGGGUACGCGCUGCGGAAUCGCGCCUACACGCGCUGCGGGUGCUGGUGCUGGUGCUGGUCAUGAUCGUGCGGGACUUCGUGCCGGGGCGGAACGCGUUCGACGCGCUGCUGGGCGAGCUCAGCCGGCUGGGCCGGUGGCCAGACGCCAUGGCCGUGUACGCCACCGCCGUGAAGCGCGGCGUGGUGGUCUCGUGGAAGUAUCUGAGCAAGGUAAAGGAGGAGGAGCCCGUUCGGCUGGGCGUUCUGCAGUGACCGCUGCCUGGUCGCAGGAUCACACCAUCUCUGCGACCGCGAGGCUUUCCGGCGUCCGGAUUUGGAAGCCGGCGUUGCUCUGUGUGUCCGUCGCUGAAGAUGGAGUUUGGAACGAGGCUCCGAGUUGCGUGCAAAUGCAUCAUGACUCUCCCGAGGAGGAAGAACAUACAGCUGACGGCUGAGGAAGACACGAGGAAUGUACCAAUUUUCUGUAAAUCAUUUCUGCUCGAUCGGAUUGACCGGGCGAAGCAUUGGCAAUCGAAUUUACGACCAGCGUCGCUCGGUUCUCGGUACCUGGCCGGCGCGGCAAGGUAUGACCGUAUCUCUACUCUAAAAAAAUAUUACCACCACCCCGUGGUCCUCCAUCCCACCCUCCGAGAAAGAUUUGAUGGCCUAUCUGAAGUCCAAACUUGGAGCCCAUAACUCUUUGGGUCGGACCAAUGGGUACAUGUAUGGGCCGUCAAUGGGUCUACUUCCCCCGCCUGCCUGCCUGGUGCCUGCAUUCUGGCCUUGUUGGCCCAUUCUCGCAGCGCCACGCGCCAAGCAGCGCGUUCAAGCUGAAAUUUGCCCGAGAUUUUUUUAUAGGGAAGGAGUGGACGGAUGGUCCACAUCAGUCAAACCUACAAGAAAACAAUGUGCUACCUACCACCUCCACGAAUCACUGACAGGUGGGUCUAUAGUUUGCUGGGUCCACAUGUCAUGCCCGUACUACUAAUCUCGAGUAGCUGUUCGCAGAAAGGAAUUCUCGUGUCGCAACAAGCGCAGUUCGUUCAUCCUCGGCGUGCGCUGGCGUGAACCAAUCAGGAUGCUCCCCGCCAAAACCAAGCGGCGGUACGCGCGCGAGCCCGCGCGUGGUCCACCUGUCAGCGUGACGAGGUGGGGGAGGGCCACGAGGCGCGCGGCGGGAAAAUAAAAGCGCGCGCACUCGGCAGUUCACCAGGGGAUUCGGACCCCACAACAGCUGGACGGUUUCUCGCCGGUCACGCUUUACUUUCUCGCCCAUGGCUUUCCUUUCUUCCGAUCAAAAUGACCACCACAUCACAUCGCCCCUACUUCACCCAAGUACACCAGUAUUUGCAGGAUUGCUCAGCCUCAAUACAAUCAACUGCUCAAGGACUCAAUUAUAUUUCACUUUGGAAAAUAGAACUGCAUAUGUUUUGGUUUAAUAAUCAGUAAAACUACACAUAAAAUAUUUAGUGCGCAGAAUUAUGCAAUCAGACACAUUGUGAAUAGUUCCGCACUAUAUUGUUUUGUAUCUAUAAACGACAUCCAAAUCUAUUUUGAAGACUGAAUUGAAACAAAAUAUACCGUAGAUUUUUGAAUCAAGUGUUUCCUCUGCAAAGUAUGCUAAUAGUAGCCAUGACUUAGACGUGCACAAGUUUAAAAUCAUCGCAAGAAUGACUCAAAAACAUGUUUUCGGUGGAAAACAUAAAUAUCUUAAGUGUACCCGAAUAAUUGCCACCAUUUCUUUAUCACCUGACAUUAUAACAUGGCAGAAUUAGAAGCAUAGUAGUAGUAUGUACAUCAAAUUACGAGCAAUGUGCCCCAAAACCAGUAAUUUAAGGCAUUCCCCUACUGUUUACUCAUGUAACUAGACGUGGCCCCAAAAUAUUUUGAGAAAUUUGCAAAAAACAAAGAGAAUAACCUUUUGAGAUGUUUUAAAAUCACAAUGCGUGGAUUAAUAUGAAGGAACUUCACUGAAAAUGCUAAAAAGGCAAAAGGAAACACGUCCCUGAAACAGUUCUCAUCUUACAUUUUUGCCCCUGCAGCCUUGCCUAGAGCUACAGCGCGCCCCGUGCAAGUCGUCCACACCAUAAACUGGCAACCCCCACUGAAAACUCCAAUUUCCCUCGCUUCUCCCACCCCACUUUUCCCUCGUUUUCUUCCCUCCCUUCCCUUCCCCUCCCUCCCGCCGCGCAAACCCUCGCCCCCCGCCGCCGUCUCAGAUCCCAGCUCCCGAACCCUGCCUCCCCACCGCGCGCCGGCCUUCCGAUCCGCGGCUCCGCGCGUGCCUCGAUCCCCAUGGCGGCGGCGGCCGGCGGCGCUGCCGGCGAGGCCAGGGCGCGGGCGCUGCUGCAGCGGCACCAGCCGUUCGCGCCGCCGCCCGGCGAGUACCACAACUUCGGCGCGCCCGCGGACGCCGGCGAGGAGGUGGUGGAGGCCGUCGUCCUCAGGACGCCAGUGAGUUUCGGGGGACUGGUGCUGGAGUCCUUGUGCUGAAAUUCUCGGUUGUUGGGUCGAAAACGCUAGAGCGCGGGCGGUUGAUGGCCCCUCCCGCCAGCGGCGAGGGGAGCUGGGAAAGGUCGUGUGGGCCGGUGGACUGAAUCGGCUUUAGCAAUGCCGAUGCACGUCGCCUUGGAUUUGGCGUCUUGCGAGCUGGUUGGAUGGGGGAUGGGUGGGGUUUUGGUGUUAGCGGAGUUGAAUUUGCUGAAUUUUAAUACCUGCCGUGGAAUUUGCUGCUAAUUCUGCACGGAUUUCGCGAUAUCUGCGUUCUAUCGCUCAUGGAAGAGGUGACCAGAUGGAUAAUUUGCUGUGGUUUAGGUGGAUGUUGCUAGGAUGUAGUAAGAGAAUGUACCAAUCUGGUGAAAUUUGCUAAUUGUGACAUUUGGGAGAAUAGCUUAUAAAUCAGUGAAGUAAUUGGUUCAUGAACGCUUCAAUCGCUAUAAAUUAUAAAAAUAUAUAUGUUUUUUUGUUUGCAUAUGGUAAUUGAUAUGCACCAGCUAGAGUGCGAUGUAGUUCAUGGUGGUGGCGUUUGGUGAUUUUUGUGCUGAUGAAUUGGUAGUGUGUGCUGACUUAUCUGGCAUUUCCCCCUUUUUGUGAUUGUCAGAGUACAUAACCAAUUGUUACCUAAAUUUGGCAAACACUUGUUAAGCAUAUGCAUCUUGUAUGAUGCAGAAAAGCACUGGGCACUAGCAAUAUGUUGGUGAUAGCUUGAAAUCCCCAUUUAAUGAUCCACAACUCUGGAAAUUGAGCGAACUAUGUUAUCGACGGUCAAUCAUAAACAAUGUUAAAACCUGAUACAGUGCAUUGUGAAAAGCAGCGAAGGAUUUAAGUUUACUAAAAAAGUAUUACAAACCUACAUCAAACUGUCUCCUUUUGAGCCAAAAUAGCACACCACUAUUUUGUAACUUUAGCACUGUUGUCUAAUUUCUCCAAAUAAUCAGUCUGGCUUAAUUUAUUACCAUCCUAACAAUGUUCCCAGGAGAUUCUACACUUGUCUCCUGUGGAGACUAUUAUGAUGACGUUGCAUUGUUGUCGUAUUAAUGUAACGCUUUUCAGCAACCUUUUCUCAUAAAUAAGAUCUCAAAACCUUUUGAAAGUAUAAAGACAUAUAUGCAUGCAACAGUUUACACUUUAUUUAGCUCUAGUUCUAACAAGAGUAUUCCUCUUGUAGUUGAAACGGAAACAUAACAGAGAAGGAAAUGAAGCUGCCGAAUCAAAUGACUGGAUGAUGAGCCCUGGAUAUGCUAAUGCAGGCAGCAGUCCAGUUCCUACACCACCUUCAGGGAAAGGUUUAAAACCUUCUGCCAAGCCUAAGGCUACCAAGGGCCAGAAACCUUGCCCUCAGACCCCUUUGAAUUUUGGUGAGUGAUGCACAUUCAAUCAGACAUGAAUCAUCUUUAUCUCAGAUGACUCAAUCCUCCUGCAUAAUUUUUCACAGGUUCUCCAGGCAAUCCUUCUACUCCUGUUGGUGGCUGCCGCUAUGAUAGCUCCCUAGGUGAGAAUAAUCAGUUAUUGAUUUUCCUGUUUUGGACAGUUACAUUUCCAUGAUAUCUUGAUUUCAGAUUUCCUUUCUUUUUCAUUAUUGCCUUUUAGGGCUCUUGACAAAGAAGUUCCUGAACUUGCUAAAAGGUGCACCUGGUGGCAUAGUUGAUCUAAAUAACGCUGCGGAAACUCUAGAGGUUGGUACCUCCUUGUUGGUAUCUUGUUCCGAGCAUGUCUUUCUUUUGCUAAACAUAUACACGCGGAACUUGUUUUGCAGGUACAGAAAAGGCGUAUAUAUGACAUUACUAAUGUUCUUGAAGGGAUAGGGCUGAUAGAAAAGAAGCUUAAGAACAAUAUCCGUUGGAAGUAAUGACUCUUAAUACCUGUAUUUCUGAUUGAUUGUUUAUGGGCAUUACUCACUUCAUAUGUCCUUUUGCAGAGGAAUAGAUGACUCACGGCCAGGAGAAGUUAGUGAUGAUAUGUCCAUUUUACAGGUACUAUGCUCCAUUUCUUCCUAUUUCUUUUUUUACUGAAAUAGUUCUUCUCAAUGCAGAUGCUUAAGUAAUGGUUCUUAUUCUCUAAGAAAUACUUAUUCUAUUUGUCAUACACAGGCAGAUAUUGAAGCUCUUACACUGCAAGAGCAGAAUUUGGAUGAACGAAUAAAGUUAGUCACCAGCUAUUUAAAGCUCAAGUUAUUGUUAUUAUUUCAGUUUCGCUAAGCAUGCUCCUCCAAUAUUUCUUGCAGUGAAAUGCGAGACAGGUUAAGGGAGCUCACUGAAGAUGAAAAUAAUCAAAAGUAACUAUCUUCUUUUUUUCCCCUUGAGAUUGAGUAAUUACCUUGCAUUUCAAUGCAUUGCAGGUUUUGGAUCUGAUUAAUGAAUCUCUCUACCUGCAGGUGGCUUUAUGUUACAGAUGAUGAUAUCAAAUCUUUGCCAUGCUUUCAGGUUUUUUUUUCUUACUCUAGUAACUGUUAAAAAUGAUCAGCGCUACUCAGUAUAUAAUCAGUAACUAACAGAUCACUACAACAUGCAGAAUCAAACUCUAAUUGCUAUAAAAGCACCGCAUGGUACAACUUUGGAAGUCCCAGAUCCUGAUGAGGUGGGUUCCAAAACCAUCCUUGUUUGUCACCCUCAAGGUCAUAGGGGGAUGUUAUAUUUCUUUAAUGGGGUCAACUUCCCUAUGCAGGUUAAUGAUUAUCCUCAAAGAAGGUACAGGAUUGUGCUGAGGAGUACCAUGGGUCCGAUAGAUGUGUACCUAGUUAGGUAUGUGCUCAUUAUAUCCCCAUGCCUGGCAUAUGCUAAAAAUCAUAUAAUUCAGAAUGUACAUCUCCAACUUAACAUGACGCCUAACAUUGUUGUGUUGAUUGAUUGUAGUCAAUUUGAGGAGAUGAGUGGCAUGGAGACUCCUCCAAGGCCUACACCAACAAUAAGCAUGGAUUCUCUAGAGAAUCCUAGGACGCCUUUGGCUGCAGAAUGCAGCAAAUCUGCAGGAAUAGAACCUAACAUUCAAGAAGGGUUUACACUACCUCCUGAUGCUCCUAGUAGUUCGCAGGACAACGGAGGGAUGAUGAAGAUUGUCCCUUCAGAACUUGAUGUAAGUUUGCUUCAAUGCAUAAUUAUUCAACAGGUUGUUCAAAAUGAAAUCGAUUUGUCUAUGAUCAUGUGCGUAGUAUUUAAUUGCAUGUUUUUUUGCACCCGCUCAACUUCACUUGAUGCUUCAUUCUUACUUCGUCUAAUUUGGCAAAUAGUGUUCUCUUUGCUUCUCUGUAGUAUCUUCUUUUUAUGGAAUAUCAACUUCUUUAUAGCACUUCAUUAUUCAAAGAUCGAUCUGUGCGAAGUGGUACAACUUGAGUUUGUUCUUGACCAUCAUCACUGUAGUGCUGGGCAACAAAACCUUUUUCCUAAUAUUGGAAUACCUUGUAUGCAAAUUCUGUCUUGGAUAUAUCUUAUAUACCACAUCUGAAUUCAUCGGCAAUACUUGCAGUUCUGUAGCGCAAAUACUUUGUAAUGCAUUAACCGUCCUUUUCCUUGGCAGACUGAUGCAGACUACUGGCUCUUAUCAGACACAGGAGUUAGCAUCACGGACAUGUGGAAGACAGCACGUAUCCUUCUAACAGUCUCUGUCACCUUAUCUAAGAUUUUCAUGUAGUAUAUCAUAUGCAGAAUUUUGAUAUGAAUUAUGAAACCAGUAAAUCCUUAACUCGACAACGCAGCAGAUGUGGAGUGGGACGGGAUUGAGAAAUUCAACGCGGAGGAUUUCCUGGAAGUCAGCACGCCCCGGCAGCAGGAUAAACCGGCCGACGUCGUGGACCCUCGUGUAUAAACUGAAAACCGCUGAAUCGGUGCAGGGAACACCAUCCAUAUUUUAGCGGCCGAUCCGAUCAACCUGGAGCGAUAGAUGGCUGAGUGAUGUACAGGUGCUAGCCCAGAAAUAACUUAACUGAUCUUCUGGACAUGCCGGUCAUAUAACCGAGCGUGGAAUGUUGAUGGCUCAGGCUGGCCUUCACAGGUUGAAACCAUGUGCCGUGCCUGGAAGUUGCAUGCUGUUGUGCAUCUCACAGCAUUAGGAUUGUACAAUUAUUAGGAAUACAUAUAUUGUGUGUGCCGGUGAUGCUCGCCGAGAUCCAUUUGUAAAAUAGCAGUUACUAUUAUUUAUUAUCUGUGUGAUACAGAUUCGUCUCUCUUUUUCUUAAAAAAAAGAAAUCAAUCGUGUGAUCUCCAUGGGGGCUGAGUUUAUUGAUGCCAUCCCAGGAUGGAUGCUGCUAUAAACAAGCCAUGCUCUGCAAGUGACCUGUCGUCGGCCUUUGAGUGUCUUGGUAGACGAUCUCUCGCCAUCACUGGUUACGGCAAUCUCUUGUGCUGAUGGUGCAUGUGUAUCGUGAUCUCUGCUAGCAUUUGAUUAUUACGCUGCUUCCCUGCAGCUUCACAUCGGAAGCAACCCUGCUAGUCCGUUUCCUUUUCUUGCUUGUCACAUCGGGCAUCCGGUUGACUGGUAUUUUCUUUCCCUGAGCGCCGUUGAUGCGGUUUAUUUUUACAUCCUCGUGCUAUUACAAAAUGGAGUCACGGUCAAUGUCGAAUAUCCUCCUGCACGUGAGCAGUCGUAGAUGGCACCACACCAUGUCAGUGACGCGUCAAAGGCUUAUCUGCUUCAUUUUUGGCCUGGAAGCAUGAUGUGGUUAAAUGGUUGUCCUUCAGCUUGGCGCCUGCUACAGGGUCAAAGCCAGAAUUCUUUGCUUCAGAAUUUUUUUUAAAAAAAAUCAAGGAUCCAAACUCUCAAGUAGCUAUUUAGUUCGCCAACGUCUGCACAUGGGAUGAUUAGCAAAGUUGAGUGCCUAGUUUAGUUAAACAAGGCUUCUUAUUUGAGAAGAUACGUUCAGAAUUCUUAUAGAAUUGGCGUCUUACAAAAAGGGACGUUGAAGCCAGAUCUUUUUUCCAUUGUCUAAAAAGAGUGCCCUCCGUGGAAGACCACAAAUAGAGGAAAUACAACAACCAUCUUGACUACACCUUUUGUUGCAUUACUCUUCAUCCUAUCGCUGUUCGAUACAGGCAGGUAUUUUCCUGAGAUGGAAAUUCCUGCAGGCCAUGAUUAAGAGUGGCAAUGGACCACUGAUAUUUGCAUCUUGUUUAUUUUAUUGUUACAAGCUUGCCAGCUGGAGUGCUACCCAAUAAAAAUGGCAAGACGCCUAAAACAAUUGCCAUGGAAGAUGCGCCAACUAUGACCUGCUAGAUUUCUUCUCUUCUUUUUUUAGCCACAGGUUUUGGAAACUAUCUCGAGCCUUAUUCAAAGAAGAGGUCAUGAAUCAAGUGCUAUAAAACGGGUUAAGGACUAGUAGCCAACAUUUGGUUAUUGUAUUUCAUAUCUCCCUCUUUGAUCCCCUAAUAUUCUCCUCAGAUUAUGCAGGCAUUAUAUGCCGUUUAACUGAUCCCUACUUGUCCAAAAACAAAAGGGGCUUUAUGCAUUCUGGUCCACCUCACGGCGUCACCUAGCCCGGCUUCAUUCGCAGAUGUUGUUCGAUUCUGAUAGACUACCCAAUGUGGUUUGCUGACUGUUGAGCAUAAAGUGAGUGUUUCCACCUUACUGUAUUCUUCAGCUGCAAAAUGCAAGUAAGAUCCCACCUUGAAAUGUUGACAUGGACUGAUAAUGACUUACUAAGACUUGUUUUUAAAGCAUGUGCAUCGUGCGCGCGCAACGGAAUCAAGCAGUAGAGUGGUUUAAAAGACAGAAAGAUAAACAGACAGUAUGAGUAAGAGAGGGGUUGUAUGUUAUCUAAACCGGCCACCUGCUAGGCUGCUAGAGACAAAGCCUUCCAUAGUGCCGUACUGCCGUCUGAUCUGAUGUGAUGUAUAAACACAUCGCCCAAAGGAAAUGCAACAGCUGUCUUGACUGCACUUUGAUGUGAUUAUAUAUCAGCUGCAUCCAGUGGCUUUCAGGUAUUAACACUUCUGAAUUCUAGCUCUUUAUUUUUUUAAUAAGAAAACAUCUUUCAGUCCUGCCUGAUAGGGAAAACAUUUAUUUACAUCUUAUUUGUUGUUACAAGCUUAACAUAGCUGGUGUUCUUUUUUUUUUAAAAAAAAUAGCUGGUGUAUUACUGGGAAAAAAUGGCGAGUGGCCUAAACUUGUAAGGCACUCUCCGUAGAAAGCAGUGUUUCGUUUAUACCAUUUUCUUUUGUUACCACGAGACAAGUAGUUUAUCUGCUUUGGCAAUGACUUUACGGAGAUGUCACUUGGAUAGUUGGAUGGACCUCUAAUACUCUAUCCUAAACAGCUAAACUCCGCAGGUACACCUGCUUUUACCUGCAUCCUGCUUGCCCAAAAAGAAGAGGAGAAUUUGCUUCUGCACCACUUGCCCAAGCUUGCUCAUCCUGAUAGAUGAGCUAGAUUCCUAAAGAAUAUAUCCCAAGUGCGCAAUGCUGACUGUUGAGCAUCGAACACUCUCCAACGUGGAUCAAGAUUCCAACGGAAUGCGGAUUGCUGAGUCGGACUGAUCCCGACCGGGCCCACACGAGGCAACUGGGACGAGAAAAAGGUAGUCUUGUGUUUGUGACGCGAGGGCAUGAGCAAAAUGCGGCAAAAUUAGGGCCACAUUCUCCAGCAGCGCCACAGCUUUCUCGUUGCAUCCGUGCCACUACAUUUGCUGGGGGCCAUUAGGUAGCCUUCCAUCCUGGCCAUUCGGUUCAUCAAGAGGGGUAGGUAAAUUGCUCCUAAUUCUCAUCCUGUUUUGAAAUGUUCUUUGUAGUGGCCCCAAACUUUGAUAGGGAUGUCCUUGUUAUCCACGGGCUGCUCUUCUUGCCGUGGAGAGUUUGCGGUCGUUAACACAUCACCAUUGAGGCAUUGACCAUGCAAUACUGUUUCGUUUCAAUUUGGAUGUCCUUUUUGUAUUAGAUUGGUUGACUUCUUAGGAUCGGACUAGUAAUUUCCUUGCCAAUUGCAUUUUCAAUAUUUGUAUGACUACGCACCAAUAAAUUUUUUUAGCAGUGUUGCUAAUCACAAAUGCAAUAAUAGGAUUUCACCAUGCUAAUAUAUAGUCUUAAAAGUGUUAAUAGUCACGUCAAUUGAGAAGAAAGAAGAGAAUACAAAGUUGUCUACCCCCAAAACAUCAACUUCUAAAAAGCAAUGACCGAUGAAGUGUUCGAUACUAGUACCACUCGGUUAUGCUAACAAACCCUUCUGCGCUAAAUUUUUUUCUAAACAAACUCUUGUUUUUUUUGUAAGGCUAAUCCCAGUGGGGGUUUCAUAGAGGUUUCAUGCACAUUAAAUACAGUGACACAUCUGUAUAUGUGAUGACAUGUCAUGAUAGUUAUGAAGUGAGAGAGGGAAGGAGUUUCAUCAGGAUGAAACUGUGUAUACACUGUUUCCAAGACUAUGAAACUUGCAUUGGGGGCUAUAGAGUUUCAUUUCAUCUAACCAUAUCCAAUCACAUGCCUCACAAUUAAAUGUCAUGGUCAUCCUAUGAAAUCGUGAAAUGAAACUAUGCACUGGGACUCUCUGUUUCAUUCAUAAUACACCUCAUGGGAUGAUGUGGCAUCCUUGAAAACAGUGCGAUGAAACCUUGCACUGGGACUAGCCUAAGGACACAUCGGAGUCUUUUUUAUGGAAACAUGACUCCAGGACAAGUCAGAGUCUUUUUCUUAGAAACAUGACUCCAAAAUCCACCACUAAGCACUCGUACAAUGCAACAUCUACAUUUUGCUACGUCACCUCUGAAACUAUACUGGAUUACAACAUCAACUCUUAAACAUAAAUAGCUAAAUCAAGAGACAGUAACGCAAAACGCUCUCUUAUGAAUUUUUUUACGACUGCGAGAUAUUACGUACUUGCUUUAAAAAGGCACCAUAUUGUGGAAAUCAUCGUUCUACCUCAUUUUUUAAGGGAUAAACUCAUGUAUACCAUUUUUAGAUAUUUAUUUUUAUAACGUACUCACCUGAAUACACCCGCUCUUACGAGCACCCAAGAGAAUAGAUCGAUACAUCUUGAGAUGACGAAAUGGUAUAUUUUUCCCAUAUUUCUGUGAAAUAAGAUUUUUACACCGGUAUAAUUUUGCAUAGCACAUAUUUCAAAUGUAUUGAAGUCUUUGACAAAUAAACACUUCACACGUAGAAAUUUACUAGAGCGUGUCGUCGCACACUUUGAAGAUUUCUGUAACCAGAGCUAGGAUUUGUAAGACCCUGUAAAAGAAAAGCGUAUGGGAAUUGGGAUAGGAGGAACGCAGUCAGCCGCGCGCUGACGUGGAUCCCAAUAAUUUCUGUGGGCCCCACCCGCCACCCCGGAGCCGCUCGCCCCGCGCGGCCUGAGUCCGACAAGCCGUUUCGGGUUCACUAGGCCCCAAAAUUCCAUUCCCGUCCUAAUCCCACCUCAGAAAUUCACACUCUGCUGAUUUUCCCCGGUAGAUGACAUGUGGGCCAGCUUCUGCUAUUUCGCAGAGUUUUUAGAGGGCGCUAUAUAUGACACCCGUGCAAAAAGAAUUCUUCUUCCCCUCCUCCCACUCUCUGUCUCUCUCUGCCCCGAGCAAGUCGUCGUCGCCUCCUCCCAAAGCUCGCUGGUUGAUUCGAUUCCUACCACUCGCCGAUCGCUUCUGCUAUGCCGUCGGCGCCAGCCGUCGUGCCGCCGGAGUUGCCGAAGCUUUCGCCGACGUCGCAGCAAGCCCUCCGGCCGCGCUCUCCGCUCGCCAACGGCUCGGCCGGCGGCGACUUCGAGCUGCGGCACUGGCGCAGGCCCAAGAAGCGCGCGGCGCCGUCGCCGCCGUGGGCGCCGCCGGUUAUCCAGAUCCCGGAAGGCGCCGGGAGCGACGACGACAGCAACAGCAGCGGCGGUGGCGGCGGAAGGCACGGGUACACCAGCCUCCGGGACAUCCUGUCGUCGCCGGAGUACGCCUUGACGGCGGGCGGCUCGCCCGCGGCCUGCGGCGGCGUCCUCGGCGGCGGUUGCGGCAGCUGCGGGGACAUACACAUGAUCCGGCACCCGCUUGUGAAGCACGCGGCGUACGCGUACCUGCAGAUGACGCCGUCGGCCAGGGAGGACCCCGCCCGCCGCGGCCGGCGCUGGCGGAGCCCGCUCUGCCGCCUCCUGCUCGGCUGCCUCAGCUUCAUCGGGGCGCUCUUCCGGCCCUGACUCCAGCGGUGACACCGGGCUUGCGGUUCUUGGUUGCAAUUUCUCCUUUUUCGUUCCUUACCAUUCUGGUUCUUGUGUGAUUGAGUUUUUCUUAGGAUUCUCUCUUUUUUGCGAGGAUUUUCAUAGAAUUUUCAUGCUUUGCUUGAAGUGUAAUUUCUGUAAAUAAUUUGCUAGGAUUAGGCACAAUUGGAGAUGAGAUUAUAGCAGGAAGAGAAAUGAUUGAUCGCGCACUAACAGCAUCUGAUUAGUUAGCUUGAUUCUGUCCUGUUUUUUUUAGUGGUAAUGAAGUAAUGAUUGGCGCUAUGAAUAUGAUAGCAAUAAAAUGAGAAAACAGGUAAUGAAGCAGACUGAAAUAUAUUCCAUCGCAGCAAAAAGAAGACUGAAACAUACUGAUGCACUAACGAUUUCUAUCAUAUCACUUCAACAAUACUGGAUACACAUCCAUCUGUUCUUCACAAUGGUGAAUGGUGAAUGGGUUGCUGAUUUUGCUAUGUACUCCCCCUUUUCUUUUUCUCUGGCUUUCUUUGAUUCGAUUCAUUCUAUGUACAACAGAAAUCAUCCCCUAUAGUUUCUGUAGGAGUCUCUUGAUUUCCUCUAGUAAUGCUUGCCGUUUGUCGGUCGCCGGGGGUUGGCGCCGCCGAUGGUGGCGCGCAGAGCCUCGGCCAGCACGGCCGCGUCAGGGUUGCUGUCGAAAAUGGACUCCUGCGGUGGCGGUGACGGCGGCCGGCGCUUGGUGGCGAAGGGGCUCCAGCCCGACUUCUUGUUCUUCUGCUGCACGUGAAUACAAAAACGAAACCAACCGUUAUCACAAUGCCUGCUGUGAAAAGAAAAAUGCAUCCAGUCAGUGCUUCACAAUCAGUGCGCCGGGAUUCGUGCACGUGGACGCACAUGUCCGUUUGGUGGAUACGAAUACGACGCUGCCUCCUGUGUAGCUGAACCUUUGUACAGGACGGCGUGUACCGACCAGGCAACAACCACUCGACACGAUGUCUUACAAAUUUCACUGCUCCCAACUGUGGCCCGGUUAAGCUGGGCCUCAUCGCGUAAAGUUACUCGUCAUAUAUACUACGAGAUGCCAAUACGUGGGUUUCGAUUUAUGCAGUUCAUCAAAUACCAAAGGGGGUGUUUGGAUCUCUAAUUCGGACUAAAAUUUAUGUCCCAUCGAAUAUUCGGAGGCUCAUUAGGAGGACUAAACAUGAGCUAAUUAUAAAACUAAUUACACAGAUGAGGCUAAUUUACGAGACGAAGCUAUUAAGCCUAUAUUUACUUAUAUUUACUAUAGCAUCACAUUGUCAAAUCAUGGACUAAUUAGGCUUAAUAGGUUCGUCUCGCAAAUUAGUAUCCAUCUGUGCCAUUAAUUUUGUAAUUAGUUUAUGUUUAAUACUCCUAAUUAAUAUCUAAACAUUCGAUGUGACAGGAAUUUUAGAAGGGACUAGGGGUGUUUGGAUACGAGGUGUUAAACUUUAACAGUGUGACAUCGGAUGUUCGGAUGCUAAUUAGAAGAACUAAACAUGAGCUAAUUAUAAAACUAAUUGCAGAACCCUGUGCUAAUUCACGAGACGAAUCUAUUAAGCCUAAUUAAUCCAUCAUUAGCAAAUGGUUACUGUAGCACCACAUUGUCAAAUCAUGAACUAAUUAGGCUUAAUAGAUUCGUCGCGCGAAUUAGACUCCAUCUGUGCAAUUAGUUUUGUAAUUAGCAUAUGCUUAAUACUCCUAAUUAGCAUCCAAACAUCUGAUGUGACGGGUGUUAAAUUUGAACACCUUAUUGCCAAACAGGCCUAGAAACAAACACCUCCAAAGACCAUCCCAGGUCAGAAAGAAGUGAGCAUUCAUCAGACCCGUUCACGGCGCGUGGGAGCAGGUUCAGCGCAUGGGAGGAGAAGGCAACGUUGCAGGAGCUGACAGGAAUGAGACAAGGUCAGACCGUCAGAGCUGGGCAGGAUCAGUUUGUGGAAGGGGGUGAAAGGAAACGAUCAGGUUGGCAGGUUGCGCUGGCCCUUUGGCUCUUGUGCAGACAAGUGCCCACGUUCUCCGCGCGGGAUGCUGCUGCUUUCCCAGUUGCUGCUAGACUAGAGCCGGUUGGGCAUCACUGUCCGGUGGGCCAGGAUUGAAUGGGAGCAGCGAGAGGCUGACAGCUGCAGGCAGGGGCCGCAUGAGCGAGAAGCCAUGGCCUCAGAUUGAGGUCGGGCCGUCGGGGAGAGGGGGCAGGCGAGCCCCUGGCAGUUGGCAGGCACUGGGCAUGGCCGGAUUGGUGGAUAAUGCUGCUGUAGUACUUGUCAAAGUGGGGCGGUGAGAGGGAAGCCAAGGGAGGAGUGAGUUGGCAGAAUUGGGGGGCUGGGCUUUCUUUGUUAGCAACAGUUUGUUUGAUGCCGGUUGGAGUUUCUACAGAUGUGCCAAACGGGAGGUGUCAUGGUUCGUCCAAAAGAAAAGGUUUUUGGCACCCAGAAAAGGUGGGAGUCUGAUGGUGAGAUUUAGGUAGAAUUUGAUAUAAAACAGAAACAUGCGAAUUGGACAUAAGUAUAUGUAAAGAACUUUGACAUGAUUUUUUUUUCAUAUGAUCAAGAAAAACAGAUAUCACUGGGAAAAUGUAUGUAUUUCUGAUUGUGAUACUUUGCUUGGAUGGCAUGCAAUGGAACAACAGUUCUUUAUUGUAGGAUAGCUAAUCAAUGGUACUGAAUUUGAUUACUAAGAAAACCUAAUAAAUAUACAUGGCAAGUAGCGCUACUGAAUUUAAAAUAACCAUACUGCAUGGUCUUUCGACUGUAUAAUGCAUAGGACAUGAACUUUACCAAGAACAGAGAAAUUUGUAUAAGAAAUUCAUGGUCAAUUGUUUUUCAGUAAUUUAACACAGAUGAGAAGCCGCAUGCAGAAAUUAAGUCCAGAAUGGAACAUGUCAUGUGGGAGCAAGGAAUAACAUUUUAAUAUAGUGCAUGCUAUACUGAGUAGGUUUGAUGGAAAAAUUGCCAUUACCUCUGCACUGGAUCCUUCAGGUUUCUCAGAUACGACAUAGCGGAGGACAUCCAUGAAGAAGGCCGUCCCUUUGUCUGCGAAAUUCUUGACGUAGAAGCUAAUCAGUUGACCGGAUUUCGCCCUCAGAUGCAGUAGCCUCUGCUCAAUGUUUGGUUCGUAUUGCAUCACUAUGGGCCGAAGAAAGGUGUCAUAUACAACAUCACUUCCCUGCAGAUGCAGUCAAGUUAAAGCAGCUUUCGAUCCAAACAAAACAAAGGUAUGUUUCGCUGGAGAAGAUAAAAUCUGAACAAACAAAUAUGCUUUCUUACCUUUGUUUUUGGGUACCAGAGGUAGACAAAGAAAGCUAACUUCAUUUCGGAAUACAUUGGCAUCCUGGCAUAGAUACAAUACAAUAGGCAUGCAUAGAUAAGCGAUAGACUUCAAAAUAUGAAAGAAAUAGUAGGUAAGAAGAAUUGAACUGACCAAGAGAUCACGCUCUCGAAGGCUAUAACCAUGGCCACAAUAAUCCUGAGACAUUCACAAACAGGACAGUUGACAAGGAUAUGUUAGCCUAUCUGAUACAGUGGUACUCCCAUACAGUCUGAAGACAACACUAAUUCAAUCUUAGCAAACAAAAUAAGCAACAUCAAACUUACACUAGUAGUCCAUGCAAUAAGAGACAUGGCAUGAUCAUUUUACAAGGAUAUGUUAGACUAUCUGAUACAGCGGCACUUUUACAGAGUCUGAAGAUAACACUAACUUUACACUUAUAUGCAGGUGCAGCACUAGUAGUCCAUACAACAAGGAACUUAACAUGAUCAUUUUUAGUCAUAGAUCGUACCAAUCACAAAGUUAUUUCUUUGUUUACUAUAGUAUUUGGUGCAUCACUGCUAACUUGAUUGUAUAGUACAUAAUGCCCCUAAAAGUCCAGUGAAUUUCCCUUACAUAGUUGAAAAUGUUAUUAUGUUAAAAAAAAAUCACCUUGAAAAGAAUUCCGCGUUCUGGUAUAUGGAGAUUCUUCUUUUCAUAUUUAACUAGUAAGUUAACAUCAAAUUUCAAUACUAUGUCCCCAAAUGAGGAUGGUGAUUUUACCACCCCAACUUGUACAUAUUCUACAGAAAUAACUAGAUUAUGAAAAUCAUUUACUGACUUGUUUAGAAAAAAAUCUGAUAACAAAAGGAACUGCACAUAUUUGUAUUCGAGAUAAUAGCAUAUCUCAGGUCAAUCAACAUUCCAUGUAUCGGACAGGCAUGUAACUUCGACAAACAGGACAACAGAACUCAUCCAAUCUAAAAUGGCAGAGCAAGAGAAAUAACUACUGAUACCAGCUGAGUGGAAUGUUACCUAAGUGAUCACUAGACAAGGUAAAGACUCAUAUGACUAGUUGUUUUUUCUUUUUUGCUAACAGGAUUUUGUUUCCCUCUCUUUCAGAUGACAGCCUGGUCCACAGGAAGCUUCUUAUCUCUUUCUUGAAGAGUUUCAUGCUGAAGUCAAAGAUUAGGUAAAACCUGAUUUUGAACCAUUUCCUGGGAAGACUUUGAAUUGGUCUGCUGUUGGUCAAUUGAGUACAACAACAACAACAACAUAGCCUUUCAAUCCCAAGCAAGUUGGGGUAGGUUAGAGUUGAAACCCAACAAGAGUCACAAAUCAGGGUUCGGGCACAUGAAUAGCUGUUUUUCCAAGCACUCCUAUCCAGGGCUAAAUCUUUAGGUAUAUUCCAUUCCUUCAAAUCUCCUUUUAUUGCCUCUUCCCAUGUCAAUUUUGGUCUUCCUCUGCCUCUCUUCACAUUACUGUCACGCCUUAGGGUUCCACUAUGCACCGGUGCCUUCAGAGGCCUUUGUUGGACAUGUCCAAACUAUCUCAGCCGGUGUUGGUCAAUUGAGUAGAUUAAAAUUAAUAUGGUGGUCCUUAGAGCAUCCCAUAUUUUAAUUGGUCAGUGACCAAGUCUAGUCAUGCUCAAGUCUGAUUACAUAGGUAAAAUAACAAACCAGGGAACAUUCUGCUCACGGACAACAAUCUUCUUAUGUCAGAGAUAAUGAAACGAAUGACUACACACACAAUCAAAUUGACACUGUUAACAAGGCAAAUUAUUUGACGAAUUUAUAGUUUAUAUCUACAAAAAAUGUGUUCAUCUUUAGACUAGUUAGUAAACUAUCAUAUGUUUGUGCCUUGGCAAUGUGAAUGCAAAAUCAAACAGUUUGUCAAAUUUAUAUUAGGCUAAUAUUUUGAAAAGUUUGCUCUAAGAUUGAAGAAUGAAGGGAUAUCAAUACUUUCUGUCAUCAUAUGUCUUAUGCUGCACAAAAGUAAUGGCUGCUACUGGUUGCAUUGACUACUGAGAAUCAGAUUGAACAAGUUCAAGAAGAAUCAAAUUCAGUGUAAUUUGUCAUUGAAACAAAGAAGUAAGCAAGAAGGUUACAUAAAAUAAGUUAAGCAUAUUUCUAAAUCCAGUAAAAAACUCUGGUCCUAGAAACAAAUUAUGUUUAGUCGCAGUGGAAUGGCUGAAAUGCCCCACACUCACAGUGAAUGUCAAACAAAAGGGUCAUUAAAUCAAUGUUUAACUUCAACACAAGAUAACCCAAAUAGCAAUUAAUUAGUAACGAAAGUAAAUCAGAUAUGAUGCAGAAAUAGUUUGUUAAACUUAGACAGGUAAAAAUAAACAUAGGCAAGAUAACGAAAAUAGCAAUUUAUUAGUAAUGAGUAAAUCAGAUAUGAUGCAAAAGCCUGGUAUAAUAGCAAUAAUGACAGAACACCAUUCCUGUGCUAGCCCCAAUUACUGAUCCACCAGUGCAUAUUGGAUGGCCUCGAUCAUGCGCUGUUUUAUCUAUCUUGCCUUUCACACAUAGCAGCAAACCAAACUCUGUUUGAGUUGAGGCCCCUACAAGAUGUAGAAACUAGCGCGGCAGAAUCUGUCCCCCUGCUCUAAUCCAGAGCACUGAAUUACAAUCAGAAGUCUUAGAAGCAUUCCUAAUGUUUGUCAGUUUUCUUUUCGCGCCUUUUUUUAGGUGGCAGAGGCAAGAAUCUGAAACUGGAACAGAACUUGCCCAUUUUAUCAAUCCUAAAAUAGCAUAGAGCUAGCAAUCAUUAACAAUAAGGCUUAGGAAUGGGCAAUAACCCUGUGAUUGACGCCGCAUUCUCCCGUGGAAUGCAGGACUGAGGUGUCAUGAUCCAGCCAUCCACCUAACAUCUAACUAUUAACGCACCAUAACGAACCUAAUAGCUUGUACAAUUGAAAAACUAAAGGGAAGCAGAAAUAAAGCUGGCACAAUCAUUUCGCAUGAACUUUUGCCUGUAUAUAGAUACACAUUAAAAAAGCCCCUCCAUGUUAUGCUAGUCAGGGAGCAAAAAGGUUAAAGUGGGAGAACUAAAGUCAGCAUCAUGAAACCACAUAAAACCACGUUAUCCAAGUACUGAAUCUCACGCCACAUCGCGAAAGUGCAAAAGAGGAAGCACGCAAUCACGGUUACUAAUGGUAAUACACAAGCAGGCCGAUGAGCGACAGAUGUGGGAUCAGCAGCGGCGAACGCAUGGUCAUCGGACCGAUUGGAACGAAAGUGAAACCCGAGGAAGGUGGCGGUUGACCACCGAGGGGUGGGGAAGGGGAGAGGAGGGAGGGACGCACCAGUACUGGCACCAGAAGCGGAGCAUGUGCGCGUCGUUGGGGCGCGUCUCGACCGUCUUGAAGCACUCGAACGCCGGCAUCGCGUACCCGAAGAGCAGCCUGCGCGGCGAAGGCCGGCGUCGGCGAACCAGAGCUCGAAAUCAGCACGCAUCACCAAAACCAAAACACACAGACCAUCGGUGUUCGGAGGGAAGUAAAAUUUCGACGGGGAACUUACAGCAGGAUCUUCGAGAGGAGCUCCCCCAACAUCUCUCCGGACCAGAAAUGCCUGCGCGCGCGCGCGGCGCCUGUGGGCUACGACGGCGGAGCGAAAUCCCCCGGGUCCUGGCCUGCGGCUGUCGCUGCGGCUUGUGGAGCGGAAUGGGGGAGGAGGACUCGCGUGGAGCGGUGGGGGGUGACGCGGGGAAGGGAGGGGAGAGGAGAGGAGGCGGAGAAGAAAGCGGUUGCGUUGCCUUUGGGAAGACGCCUGCGGGCGGAGUGGGAGAAUUUGAGAGCGGCGGGCAGUUGCCGAAACGGCCGAGUCCUCGGAGUGGUGGGGUUGGACCCGUUCGACCACGACGACGACGGACGAGGAGACCGACCGACUGGGCCUGGGCCCUGGCUGCGCGGCGGGGCUAUCUCCCGUCACGCUCGCGGUUUGCGGCAUCUCUCGGAAUACAUGGAUGAGGAGUUGGCUUUACGCCAUCUGGCCCACGAUUCGGUGGGGCCUGCGGUGGUGUGGGCGGGAAUCCUAUCCAUCCUCCGCCACGAGAUAAAUAGAGGUGUUAACUUUCAAUGUUUGAGAUCCGUGCGACGAAUGAGAUACAUCGUAUCUUCAUCAAAUUAAAACUCUAGCCUCUACUCCUCUCUCAUCCCUUACCCGUGCCGCCGCCCCCGUGCGGGGCUCGCCGCCGGCCGGCAUGCCUCCCCAUGCUGCCACCGCCGGCCAGCACGCCUCCGCACGCCGCCGAAGCUAGAUACUUUUUUAAAAAAAUGUUGGUGCAACUUUUUUCCGAAAAAUAUUAGAUUCAAUUUUUUCUAAAGAACUUUUUUCGAAUAAAUGUUGGUCCAACUUUUUUUAAAAGAUAUUGGUCCAGAUUUUUAAAAAAAUCUUAACAAGUUUUUUUUUAAAUCUUGACAAUAUUUUAUUUAACUUUUGAUCUGCAGCGUUUUGUUAGGCUUUGAUCAUCUUCCGGUAAAUAUAUACGAGGCCCCCUGGUGUGUGUGGGUGCGCGGACGGGUGGCUUUACGCUUUUCGAAUUGCUCGGCCAUGGUUCCGCGCCGCCGAUCCUUGUGUGGCCCCGCGUGUUGCCCAAAACUCCAUCACCGGAAGCUUCGCCUGGGAAGGCACUGCCUACUUGGCGACUUGGGUGUGCCGUGUGCCGCCUAGUAGACCACUAGACGUCUUUGUCCCGUUGCGUACGCCUUGGUUUUACCGGUUCGUCCGUGACGAAGGCGUAGGCGCCACGUACGAAAGGAUGUACAGGGGCAGCGCAAGACCGAGUUUGACAGUCUCCGGUAUCUGUACGUUCACAAGCAGUGCAAGAGCAAAAUGCAUGCCUGCCAACUCAAAACUCACACAACCAAAGUCACAAGCUGGCACUCCAUUUCUAGCACCGGAUGCAAGAGAUGGACGCAUGCGGCCUUUUUUGGGGGACAGGAAACGUGACGGGAACGGCUGAUCAUUCAUUCAUGCUUCAUUCCUGGGUCAUCACUCCGGAGAGCACGCCGAUGCGGAGAAAGAUUCCGUGCGGCGUCUCUACGCGUGCCGUGACGACGACCACCCAAGCCAACCCGGCCCCCAACAGCAACCUGCCUUGAUCCCGGUCCAACCAAUCCACCGCGGGGAGAAGAAGGGGCCGGGUCAAACGCAUGCAGGCAUCACCUUGUCCUGACGCUUUUGUUGAUUUUGACCUUUUGUGAUUAAAACCUUGACUUGACAAUCCCCACCAACAAGUCCGUCGUCGAAGUAUCUCUAGCUGGCUGGUUUUUAAUUUCCUGCCAUGAAUUUCCGAAUGGUUUCUUUCUUCCCUCUCAUUUCCCAUUCAGAUGACAUCGGCCGGUGGUUAAUUUUCUUACGCGGCUUAUUCAUUCGCGUCCGUAUCUGGCAGAGUGUCUGCAACACCUACGCAAUCGCAAUUGACAGCGUGAAUAAUCACAACACCAAUCCUUCAAUUUGAACGAUGUACUAAUUAACCGCUGCUCCAUCGACAAGGGUCAGAUUCCAUCCACCAUCGUUGAUCCCCCAUUAUGCAUGGCUAACUAGUUUAGUUGUGAAGAUGUUAAUUGGUUUACCAACCACACACAAUGAAAAAGCUCGUACGUUAGUUGGGUUUAGGCCUUGGCGUUAGGUGCUUAUCCGCUCACCCGAUCGAUCAAGCGAGCUAGUGCAUCAUCCUCUCCGACCCGUUGCUGAUUUGACCUGCACAUGCCGUCUCCAUUAUCCUAUGUCAAGCAGCUCAGAUUUCUCAUUUCAAAAAGCACGGAAACCGUGCGCCAAGCUGUCCAGCUCGCUCAGCUAGGAUGGCAUCAACCGUCGUCAGUCGACUGGCAACGGGUUCCGUAAUCUUGCUGGAUUGAGCCGAGAAGCCCAUCGGAGCCCAGUUCAACGGCUCGCAUAAAAUUCAGAAUCGGGAAAUUUUUUAUUUUUAUAUAUUUUUUUACUAUUUUGCAGAAAUAAAUAGCGGAGGAAAAAAUUAGCAAAUAUAGACAUAUACCGCCGGAUGAACCAGCGGUAGCUGGUUAUGCGGCGGUAACAGCCUUCCGCCGAUUCAAACGGCGGGAGCGGUAAGAUCCCGCCGGAUCAGUCGGCGGUAGGCGACCCCACCCUUUGAAACGCGAAGAACGGCCGGUUCAUUCGGGGAGAAGAGAAGAGAAAGCGAGGGAGGAGAGGAGAGGAGAGGAGAGAAGAGGAGAGGAGGGAAGAAGAGAGGGAUGGGAGGAGGGUGGAGAUUGAAGCAAAGCUCUGCCGGAUAUGCGCUUCGCUUUAUGUAUUAUUUGAAAUCUCGCAGUUUAUCUUAACUCAUAGUUAGUAGAUGUAGUAGUCGAUAUCAUUUAUAAAUGGUGUAGUGUUAAGUAUUAGAUCAAAUGUAGGUGUACAUAUGAGACAUAGACAAAUUUGUGGUAUGGUGGAUUUAGCUUAGUUAUUUUGGUUAAAGUAAAUUUAGUUUUUUGAUUUAUUUAGAUAAUUUUAAAAUUAAUAUUGUUGGCAAUGCACGAGUUAUAAUUUUAUAUAGUUAUUCAGAAUGUAGGUGUUAUUGGGUUAGUUAAAAUUAAUAACAUUUAGUAAUAAUAUUUGUUCAUGUCGUGUAUAAAUUUGUAUAGUUCUUCGAAAUGUAUGUGUGAUUAGGGUUAGUCAAAUUUAGUAAUAUUUAGUAAUGAUCUAUCUUGAUGUCGUGUAUAUUGACAGGGUAAAGUAAAAUUAAUUUGUUGAUAUAUUUAGAUAAAUCUAAAAUUAAUAUUGUUGGCAAUGCACGAGUUAUAAUUUUUAUAGUUUUUUAAAUGUAGGUAUUGUUGGAAUAACAUGUCGUGUAUAUUAACAGGUAUGUUAACAGGUACGUCGGACAGUUUAUUUUUCCAAGUACUCUAUGGUUCGGGGGAGGUUAGAUAUGGUUCAGAAGGGGUAGAUUUGUCUGAAUUUAAGUCAUUCUGGAAACAAAUACCAAGAGCAAGAGAGAGAACUUUGGCAUCAAUACUGACACGCAUUUGUGGACUGUUGACGUGAACCGUCAUUGAAAAGCCUACACAGUAGACUACAAGGACCCUAAAUGUGAGCCUUCUCAGGCAAAUGGGACUCCACACUGAGCCCUACGUCCCUACACCUGCAAAGUCUGUAUCUAAACAAAUGGGGGCACAAUGCACCUCCAUCUCAACACUCCUUAUGUGGACCUCCCUCUCCCGUAUCCUUCCACACCACUGAGUAGGAGGAAGAACAAUAUCAUUCGUAAGAGGGAGAGGUCAUGGGAGGAGCGGAAGAGGAGGGGAUGCUUUUAUUCCCACCAUCACUUGGUCAAGUUCUUUUGACCCAACGGAGUAUAAGGAACCCCUCGACGACUUCCCUUUGUAUGAUAGGGCUAACUACGCCCCUCCAAACUGCCUUAGACCGUCAUAAUGUGUGGCCAACGUAUCACCAUGGCGUGGCUUGCGUUGUGCAGUUGUUUGAUGGCUACGGUGAUGGAAGCUGGUAUUUCUUUCGAUGCUCGUAUGCCUUGGUGAGUCAUGUUAUUACUUCUUUACUCUUGCUAAGCUUUUCGUGCUACAAACUAACAUCAUGUUCAGUUUUAUCUUGAUGAAGAAAGCUGCCUCUAUACGAAGUGGGCCGAUCCUCCACUUCCUGAACCAACCCAAGAGUACAUCCACUACCUCAAGUGCAAGAUCUUUGACCUCAAGCGUAGGGUGGAGGAUCUUCAAGCCGAAGUUGAUGCAAAUCCUUCGGCGGUUAACAUCGCAGGUGACCCGAUUUGUAUUGAUCCAUGGUGCAAGUGCCCCUACCAUCCAUACCAUCACAACAAGGAUCGCCCACCGUCACUACCUUCCUCUGGGGGUGCUGGAUACUAUGAGACUAGGCUUUUCAGCUCUCUCGAAGCCAGUUCUACUAGAAAGUAGAGAUGACUCCGUCCCCAACUAUUUCAAUUAUCUAAGGCGUGUUAGGUUUAGCAACGACACAUAGUUAGGAUAGCCAUCCAUGCUGCACACGCCACUGCAAUCUAUUAUUUAGUCUAGGGUCAUCGGUGUUCAGCACGAAUUUCAUUCUCAUAUGUUGUAAUUUCGCUGGAAACAACUAUGUAUUACAUGGUCGGGAAGUAAUUCAAUUUUUAAUAUGAGAUCGAAGCGCUCUCUCUCUCAAAUUUGGAAUUUCAUAUUCAACUAAUAAUGACAUAUUUGAAUAUUUAGUGCUUCCAAUCUAACUUUAUAUAUUUUUAUAACUAAGGAAAAAUGUCAUGAAAUAAAAAAAUUACACAAAGUUAUAGCCAUUUGAAAUGGCUAUAGACGUCUCCAUCUCCGGCACUGGCGGCGUGGCUGGAGAAGGGAGGUGGGCUUACCGCCGUUUCAACACGCAGUAAGCUCUAUCUCCCUCCAGGUCACGUGACAUGUAAGCUACCGCCGGUUCAAACAACAAUAAUAAUUUUAAUUAUUUUUUGAGUUAGUUAUUGUCAUUUGAAACGACUAUAGCCGUUCUACCUAACUGUAUAAGUUUAGAUUUGUAAUUUUUUUAUCCGAUAUUUUUGCAAAAUAGUAAAAAGAUAAAUAUAAAAAUAAAAAAUUCUAGAAUCGGACCAUCGUUUGCAUCCACAUCCUAUGGGCCUAAACUGGCCCUCGUUCUACAUGCUGCCGGUCUAGGCCUAAACUCUAAAGCCUAUCUGGGCCUGAGCUGAACGUUUCCCAAUGCUUCAAUGCUCUUUAUAUAUCGGCUUGAUAAAUUUCAGCUGCGAGAGACAAGGGGGUGUUUGGGAGGGGACUUUAGUCCCCUCGUAUCAAAUGUUUGAACACUAAUUAAGAGUAUUAAAACUAAACUAAUUACAAAACUAAUUAUACAACCUCUAGGCUAAAUCGCAAGAUGAAUCUAUUAAGCCUAAUUAGUUCAUGAUUUGAUAAUGUGGUGCUACAGUAACCAUUCACUAAUGAUGGAUUAUAUAGGCUUAAUAGAUUCGUCUCGUGAUUUAGCCUAGGAAUUCUGUAAUUAGUUUUGUAAUUAGCUUAUGUUUAAUUCUUCUAAUCAGUAUCUGAAUAUCCGAUGUGACAUGAUCAAAGUUUAGCCUUAGUAUGCAAACGUCCCCCGCAGCCAGCCAUGAGAGAAAGGAGGAAAGGAACCAGACUCCGGAGCUGGAAUGAAUAGUUUGCAGGAGCCAGACAGAGAGGACAUUGAUGCAGUCGCUCCUGCAUCGAAUCGAAUCCAACAAGUAGCCAAAGCUAGCCGUAGCACGGUAGCAGGAGUAGUAAACUCGUGAGGUCACGUCCACAGGCCACUCUCACUCAUGGCGACGCCGUGAAUCCCGGCGGUGCUGAGUACCGUAAAGCCCAGCCUGCCACCGCAUUGGCUGCCGGCGCGGGAAGCAUUCAGUUUUCCCACUAGAGCGGCAUCAGGAUCAGGAGGAAUGGAUGAUCUGACCGCACAAGCGACCGUACGUGUAGCCGAGCCGUGUAGUCCAUGGGCUCAUGGCUCCAGCGUGACGCACAGUAAUUUCUUCUUCCCUUUCAGUGCGAGCAAUCGAUGCUCAUCUUGUGUUUAGCUCGUGAGCAAGAUCGUCAGUAAACUGUGCUACGGAAUAGGUUCUGAAUGCAGGGUGAACAUGUAAAACCACGUGCGUUUACUGGUAGCUUUGGGAAGCAGGAACCCUGCAACCCUUAGGGCCUGUUUUCUUCCACUUGCUAAACUUUAGCAGCCGUCACAUCGAAUGUUUAGAUACCAAUUAGGAGUAUUAAACGUAGACUAUUUACAAAACCCAUUACAUAAGACGAAUCUAAACGGCGAGACGAAUCUAUUAAGCCUAAUUAGUCCAUGAUUUGACAAUGUGUUGCUACAGUAAAUAUUUGCUAAUGAUGGAUUAAUUAGGCUUAAUUAGUCUUAAUAGAUUCGUCUCGCCAUUUAGAUUCCACUUAUGUAAUUGGUUUUGUAAAUAGUCUACGUUUACUACUCCUAAUUAGUAUCUAAACAUUCGAUGUGACACGUGCUAAAAAUAAGACACGGGAAGAAAACGCCCCCUUAGCUGGACAAGACAAGGCCUGAAGAUUGUAAUGAAGAGCAGACAGGUGCUGAAUUCGCUCGCGCAUACAGCUGGACGCAUCAAAUUUCGUUGCAGACUCGACUCGGGGUAGCUGAGGGGGUGAAAUGCGUUCAACCAGUCACUCACCCAGUCGUCAGCACAAGGUAAAUGCUUGCUAGUGGCAGGGGUACUAGCACAGUAGAAUCACGACGCUCUGAAGACGCAGGCAUGCAGCAAAUGCUGCAGCAGAGGAGCUCCUGAGGACGCAGGCAUGCAGCAAAUGCUGCAGCAGAGGAGCCCCUGCUGCCGUUUCAUAACUGGGCGGCCCAAGGCCGGAGAGGAGAGGAGCCGAAUCUAUGGACAAAAUUUUUACUACUAGAGCCCAAGAUUGAAGACCCUGCUGUAUGCUCUGGUCUGAUCUGAGGCAUCGACCCUUACUGAUACCCUCCUUUUCGGCUGCACUGCAGCGGCGCAUAGCUAGGCGGCUCACCUGGGUCACGCCCAGGGAACGCCAUGAUUUCCGGCUCAGAUGCCAGGCCGGGCUGUCUGCUUGUAUGUUGUUCUCCCUCUUGUAUAUCCAUCCACGCAAUACUGCGAGAGUCAAGAGCUUUGCCCGGAGAGGGGGCAGCUGCUCGGUCCAAAUUCAAUCCGCAGAAGAGGACGAGCCGUGCGAACCUCGAGUCAUUGCCAGUCACUCGGCUGGUUUCACGGUGCGACUGACUCGUGUAGGAGUCUUCAGUUAUGCGGGGGAUUUUACAGCUCAAAUUUUACUGCAUGAAAGAGCUACAAAACGUUCACUAGGCUAGGCCGCACUGUAAGAUGGAGCUGAACUGAAGCAUGAACAAAAAUUUUCGGUGGUUUCCCGGCCGUCGGUUUACACCGAAAACCCGCUCAUUCCGUCAUACGGGUAUCUACUGUAUUUCCCAUUUUUUCAUUGCCCAUAGCAAUGAGCUGAUUGAUCGAGAAUCAUGGUAAGCAAGGAAAGCUUCUGCAAGCUGGGCAAGCUGUCGCCUUGCCGGGCCGUCGUGCACUCGCGAGCACGCAAGCGAAUAAAACCCCCUGCAGUGCAGCCUGCAACCCGUAUCGCGGUAAUGAGCGCUGUUUCCGGCACGCCCAACGGCUCAAAAGGGUUGUCCCGAUACUGUUCCGGCGACACGCAUGCGCCGUCGUCAUCCGGAGAAGAUCCGUUGGUGGCCUGGGUUUGCCGGCUCUGAUGAAAAGCUGCGGCGUGUUCAAGGGAUGAUCGCUAGGUGCUUUGCCCCUCGCUGACGACACAGCGGCAUGACCAGGUGAGGAGGGGCACGGGAUAUGCUCCCCGUCCGGUAUGCAACCAUGGUGUAGUCUACAUGCAGUAUGCAACCGUUGUACAUAUAUUUAUGGGACCAUCAGAAGGUUUGGACAGUCCUAAAUAUAGGACGGGACAUCCAAACGUAUCUGACAUGAAGAUCAUAGGUCGUGACGGCGUAGUCUACAUGAAAACACAUGAACUAGUCGAGGAUUAGGAAAAUACUCGUCGUAAUAAGAGUAGAACUCCUGUGGUCGUAUCCGACUACUAUUUUUGUAACCAACCGACCUAUAACCCUACUCCCGGCAAUAUAAGGUGAGACGGGGACUCCAUCCAAAUCAAUUUGAUCCAACCAACACACAGGACGUAGGGUCUUACCCAAUCUAGCGGUCCGAACCUGUCUAAAUCGUGUGUCUGCGUUUAUCUUCGAGUUCUUGAUCUCGACGAGCCCCACUAACCAGAACACUACCUCGGGCACCCCCCUCGGUAGGUUGCCGAGUUUAAACACCGACAGCAACUACUCCUUCUGCUCCAAAUUAUAAAUUAUUCCAAUUUUAUUGGAGAGUCAAAGCAUCACAAGUUUGACCAAAUUUAUACAAUAAAGUACUAACAUCCAAGAUACCAAAUAAGUACUAUUAGUUUCUUCAUUAAAUAUUAGUUUCUUCAUUAAAUAUAUUUUUAUAGUAUAUCUAUUCGAUGUCAUAAACCUCUGUGAUCCUUUCUAUAAUUUUGAUCAAAUAUAAAAUAGUUUAACUCUCCAAGAAAAUGGAAUGACUUAUAAUUUGAAACGGAUGGGGUUGAAACGGAGGGAGUAGAUUACUAGCUUGGUCCUUUGGUCAGCAUGGAAUGGAAACUGAACGUGUAUGAGUAUGAUCGCUGCUGCCUGCCUGUGCAUGUGCUCACGAAAACCAUGAUUGCUUGAACCUUCUGAUCAGCGUGAACUGCCCUGCCCCCUCACAGUCACGGCAGUGGGAUAUAUGCAGAUUAUUCUUGAAAAGCAUACUCUCAUAAAUUUACUAUUUACAUUGCAUAGUUACAUUCUAAUACAAAAUACAGGUCGAAGUGGCGAAUCGAAGACCGUGAAAAGUUACACAUUUUGAGAAGGAUACCAGCGUACGGCCGAUACCAUUUUGCAAAGUUUAAAUCUCCAACUUAAAAGUAAAUGCUUUCAAAGUUUGUUUCAUUGGGAAGCCCAUAAAGAUCCUGGUCCAAAAAAAUAACAUUGGUCGACAAUAUGUAUUAUCGUCAAGUCACCGUUGGAUAAGUGUGAGUCAUGGGCACUUGAGCCACUGAUGACCACUGAAGGAAACAUCCUGAAAAAAAAGGGUAGAUGAAUGAAAAUGCAUGGUAGCUGUGCACGCUCGUCCAUUCCAUUCCUACUGGCAAAGGUCGGCCGGUUGGAGGACUGUGACCUAGCGAAAAGCUCCUAACAGUUAACCCCCUUUGAUGAUUGCAACAAGUACACAGAAGUGGACCGCGGCCGUGAUUGUGUCUUAUAGGCACAGCAGCCUCGGCGAAGCAUGAUUAGUGGACUACGGGCCCGGCCGGCACAACGCUGCCACGGAGCACCGACCAUCCGUGACUUUUUCGUGCAGUGAUGGACGAGGAUGAUCCUGCGUUGCUGCAGGCAGAGCUAACCCUACUGCUUUGGAGAUAAUAUACGGAUGAUAAUGAGACGAGUGCAAAUGCAAAGGCAAACACACAGCCACUGGACGAGGACAUGCAUCUUUGCGUCGGUACAUUGCUCGUGAGGAUUCAUGAUGAGGUUGGAGGCUUGGAGGGGAGCAUAGCUAGCCAAGGAGCCCUGCAGGUAACAAAAGCGGCGACAGCAGCCACCACAACCAGGUCCAUAAAACAAAGCAGCUACCGGCCAGCCACGGCUCCUGAUCGAGGUACUGCCUCCGGGCGGCCGGAUGGCCACCCAACCGGCCAACCCGCUGGUAGGUGGUGGGCCUAUAAGCAUAGACGUGGCGUGGCGACGGCGUCGCCGCCCCGAUCGUUCUUGUACGCGUACGUGUAGGCGAUGAUUGGUCGCGGCACGGGCACUGCACGAGCGUGCGCAUGCAAAAAAGGCUAUAAAGCCUAUAGAGAGUCAGAGAGCUCGCUCUCUCCGUCUCCGGCACGCGCUCGAGCUCUGCUUUGAAGGCGGGCACGGCUCGCAAUAGCAAGCUCCUUUCCAUGCCGGCGCCGGCGCCGGCGCCGUCGUGGACGGCAUCCAUGGCGGGCGCGCAGGACCACGCUAAUUAUUCGGGGGCGCAGCGCAGGUUCCCAACUUCCCAGUCUCCCAGAGACAGAGAGCUAGAGGAUGCGAUUCGAUUCCAGCUCCGAUCCGCCCCUCGCGCCGGGCGACCGGAUCCCGAUGGAGCUCUCGUCGCGUCAUCCCAAGCUUAACUAGACCCGCCCUUGUCCUCGUGUUGACCGGGUUAACUAUAUGUCGAGUCGAGUACUCCGGCGCGCGGUCCGGCCGGCGCCCUAUCCUGCCCCGUCGCCUGCUCUCAGGCGACGUACGCCGGCCGCAUGACAGGCACGGAGUACCCGUGUCGAGUCAUCAGAGGGAUCCGCAGGGUUCGUUUAGAGCAACAAUUGAACCACGUCGACCUAGCGCAUGGAUUACUGACCUUGCCGUUCGUGAACCAGCACACUGCAUUGCGAAAUGCGAACGGCGUAUGCUGCAUACGUGUGACCUGUGACAGUUACCUUUGUAGGCGCUUUUAAGCACAGACUAGUACUAGUAGUAGUUGCAUUUUAGGAAUUGCAUAUCGUUUAAUUUUGCCACGUAACGCUUGCACCAGUCUGUAACUUGAUUCGACUGAGGGGCGCUCGGUCUCAUAAGCCGAAAGCAACAUGUGGUUUUGUUUAGUUAGCCGCAUUAUUAUAGCUUAUAUAAUCCAAGCUUACAUGAUACAGACUGCCUGUUCUGUUGCUCCAUCGGCAUUUAGGUGCAGUGGGCUCCCAGCCUGCAUCGUGGGGUACAAAAUAUUCGACCGUACUAGCUUGUUGAAGCAGCUGGACCCACAAGAUUGAAGCCUCUCAUCUGUACGAGUAUCGCUGGAGUUUUUGCUUUGUCUGGGAGGAGGUUAAAUUUUAGCCCCGUCACAUCAAAUGUUUUGAUACUAAUUAGAAGUGUUAAAUCUAGACUAAUUACAAAACUAAUUACACAACCUGUAGACUAAAUCGUGAGACGAAUCUAUUAAGCCUAAUUAGUCCAUGAUUUGACAAUGUGGUGCUACAGUAACCAUUCAUUAAUGAUGGAUUAAUUAGGCUUAAUAGAUUCAUCUCGCGAUUUAGCCUAGAAAUUCUGCAAUUAGUUUUGUAAUUAGCUUAUAUUUAGUUCUACUAAUUAGUAUGCGAACAUCCGAUAUAAUAGGCUAAACCUCCAAACACCCUUGCAUUUGGCAACCUUUGGGCUUUGGCCUGCGGUACUCACGUACAUGCUCCCUUUUUAUAUUUUAUAUAAUUUUGUUUUCCAGACCGUAUCCGUACUCGCCGCAGCGUAGCAUGCAUGCAUGUAGACAUUGCGCUGGCAGGACCAAGAGCGAGGACGGUCAAAGUCAACACCCAUCGACAAGCCGCAGAGGAACGGAAUGAUGAGCGAGCCCUCCCACUCCCACCAAGGACAACAACAAGGAGAAGCUCAACGACGUACUACUCGCCAGCUGCACUACGCAUAUCACGUGGCCCACUCAUUUGACCCCACCGAUUAACCGCCCUCGGCCCCACACCCGACUCGCUGGCCCCACCCCUCCCGUUUGUUUCACUUCCACCCAGAUCGCGUCGCGCAUAUAAAACGGCGGGAGUCCAGUCUUCUUCCUUCACCGGCGCCGUCAUCUCCGUAACGCACAGAGCCACAUGCGCAGGAGAGCUAUCUAGCUAGGCAGGCUAGCCACACCUCACGGCUCACGAUGUCGUCGUCGUCGGCCAGGGCGCGGCGGGGCGGGAGCCUACAGUUCCCAGUGGGGCGGUGGCGCCACGUGGCGGUGGUCGACACCGGGUGCGGCUGCCGCCCGCGCCGGGCCACCUCGCGCCUGCUCAGCCAGCUGCCCUCCUUCCUCCGCCCCUCGCCCAAGCCCCCGCAGCAGCCGCCGCGGAGCAGCUCCCGCUCCUCCUCCGGCUUCUUCCCGUCCUCCGCCUCCACGGCAUCCUCCUCCGCCGCCACCUUCACCACCACCCACUCCUCCUACUCCAACUACUCCGCCUACUCCAACUCCUACUCGGCCGCCGCCGCCUCCUACGCCAAGCCGCAGCAUCCGACGGCGGCGUCGGCCGAGGCGCCGCCGCCGCCGGCGUCCUCCCACGCGGCGGCGUCCAGGAGGAGGCAGCAGCAGGGCAGGAGGAAGAAGAGGUACGAGAAGAUGGGCGCCGCGGCAGGACAGGACCAGGAGGAGGACGUCGGCGUGGCCGUGGAGAAGGAGUCCUCCGACCCGCGCGCCGACUUCCGUGAGAGCAUGGUCCAGAUGGUGGUAGAGAUGGGGCUCUGCGGCUGGGACGACCUCCGCUGCAUGCUCCGCCGCCUGCUGGCCCUCAACGCGCCGCGCCACCACGCCGCCAUCCUCGCCGCCUUCGCCGAGGUCUGCGCGCAGCUCACCGCGCCCCCGCCGCACCCGGCGUACCACGCAUACGACUACCACUACCACUACUGACCAGCCGAUGAGCUGGCUGGCUCGCCGCCGCUCCACCAGCAUCAGGCGUCAGCGACCUCCUGUUCUGGAGGUCUCGAGAUCCUGGCACCACCCGUGUGCUGCAGAGUGAAUUACAGUCACCGGUGGUGAUAGGAUCUCGUAGUAGUUUCGUUCAUCAGCAUUAUCAGUACCAACGGGUCCUUGUGUGUUCCGUCCAGUAAUCCGUCAGGUAGUUCAGCUUCUGCUCGGUGUGCUUGUGGAUUUGUUGCUAGCUUGGAAUAGCUCUAGCUGGCCUUGCUGGGUGUUGCAGGGGGUGUUUGGAAGACCGGGGCUAACUCCUAAUCCCAGCCUUUUAUCCUGUUCUCCUUCAACUGAAGAUGGACUCCCCCACCUUUCCUGCAACUUUGCUUCAACUGUCUGAGUGAUAACGCGCGAGUGUGUUGAAAUAACCAUCUAAAAUGCUUAACCCCUGCAUUGCAUUUCCCAGUAAAAUUGCAUCUCUGUAACAGAACUUACGAGCUCCACCCGGCACCGGAGGAAGACUCCACUGAGGAGCCUCACCCCUUUGAAGGCGAGCCUGAACCGUAGCACGACCCCGAGGACCUACUAACCGUUCCUGAAGGCAAGCCCUGGUGCAUGAAUUCCCUAUUUUACUUUUAUGCCACUUAUUGAUGGUUAUGAUUGUGCAUUUACGUUGGUAGGAGUUGAUUGGAACCGUAGAUGCAUGAACUUAGUACCUUGAUUUGAAUACUAGUUGCUANNNNNNNNNNNNNNNNNNNNNNNNNNNNNNNNNNNNNNNNNNNNNNNNNNNNNNNNNNNNNNNNNNNNNNNNNNNNNNNNNNNNNNNNNNNNNNNNNNNNUACGAAUCUAUUACGCCUCAUUAGUCAUGAUUUAACAAUGUGGUGCUACAGUAGCCAUUCGCUAACGAUGGAUUAUCUAGGCUUCAUAGAUUCGUCUCGUGAUUUAGCCUAGGGGUUCUGCUAUUAGUUUUGUAAUUAGCUCAUGUUUAAUCCUCUUAAUUAGCAUCCGAACAUCCGACGUGACAGGGCUAAAGUUUAGCCCUUGGUAUCCAAACACCCCCGCAGUGUGCUUUGUUAGUUUGUUUCAGUGUGUUUGCCUGUUCGGCUGGCCUUUGGUUUUGGAUGAAGGUCUCUGAAAAAGUGUACUAGUUUAGUAGCAGCAGCAGCUUUAUUUAGUUCUUGAUUAUAUAUAUGUAAUGUAACUUGCUAUGAAAUGUUCGAGGUGUUUAUGCUUAACGCAUGGCACUUGAUUUUCCAGCGAGCUAGCAAUGAAAAAGUUUUACAGGUAGACCUCCAAGUCCCAAAGUUUUACCAUGGUUGAACCGUACCUCUGGGUUAACAGGCUGGAAGUAAUAAAUUAUGGCGUCCUGGUGUCUGCCUGUCCUGAUGCAGUGACGUGUACUAGUUACUGCCUGAAACCAUCUGAAUGUGCAUUCAUCGCUGGAACAGAACGCAGUGCCCGUGGCAUCGGUAGAUCUCUUUAUAUGCCCAUCAGGAUUCAGGAGGUGGAGCGCUGAGACGGGCAUUAACGUUACUGAAUGCAUUCAGGCGUCGUACCUCGCGCUCUCUAUCUGGUUUUACACUUUUACUACUGCACAGCUUUACUGGAACUCGGUGAAUACAUGCGUGUGCUUUUUUUUUUUGGAGCGUAUAGUGAAUAUAGUACUAUGUACUUGUAGUGGAACUGUUCCAGGUACUUGCAUCGCAUCAUUUGAGAGUUGUUUGAGGUACCCGUGAGCUGUGGCAACUGGCAAGGUCGUCCAACCCAACCGAGCAAGAGAAAGCUGCCCCUACCUCAAAGACACUUCAGAAUCAUUCCAUUCUCGUUGCAUGAAAAAGGGUCAAUCAUGCCAAUUUUUUGUGGAAUUUUUAGCCAUUUCUCAUGAACCACUACAGCUCCAUAUACGAACAGGUGUAGCCGUGUAGGAGUACUCCAUCUCAGCCCGGGUACUUGAGCCGCUACUGCUCAUGGAGUCAUGGAUCUUUCUUUCUGGAAGGAGGUGCGUGCGUGCGGUAGCAUGUGUCCUUGUGCUUUGAGCCAAGCCCCCGGAGGAGCUUUUCUUUUCAGGAGCUCAGGCGAGCGAGCGUUGCGUUGGGUUCCUCUCCUCUCCUCUCCUCUCCUGGGCAAGCACAGCACGCAUGAUGAUGUAGCUGCCUGUAGUUGGGCAUGAUGCUGAGCUUUGCCUUUGCCUGCCGUGCAUGCGUACAGCUGCAGGCGCACGUAAUCAUCAUGCAAGGUGUGCAGGGGAGAGGAGUCCGGCCGGGUGAUGAGUCCUUCGGGGCCGGAGUUGCAGCUGUAAGGCCACCUAAAGCCCAUACAUCGCCUCUGGGCCUUCCCAUUGAAUUUGGCCUGCUCAAGCAGUUGGUUGGAGCCCAAACUGACAACGGCGUCCGGCCGGUCAGAGAACGGAUCGGAUCACCGGCAAGAAGAGCAGCCAUUGGUCGAUUCCGUUGACCCUUCUUCUGGGCGCGACGCUCUUGAAUGCGCGCUCCUGAACCCGAUGCAACUAUACCAGAGGCUGGUCCUCGUCAAGUCGUCAGUCAUGAGCUGCUAACCGCGCCAGUACGGGCAUUUGGUUCUUUGCUUAUUUUAGCACGUAUCACAUUGAAUGUUUAGAUACUAAUUAGAAGUAUCAAAUGUAGACUAUUUACAAAACCCAUUACAUAAGUGAAGGCUAAACGGCUAGACAAAUCUAUUAAGCCUAAUUAAUCCAUCAUUAGCAAAUGUUUACUGUAGCAACACAUUGUUAAAUUAUGGACUAAUUAGGCUUAAUAGAUUCAUCUCACCGUUUAACCUCCACUUAUGUAAUGGGUUUUUAUAAAUAAUCUACGUUUAAUACUCCUAAUUAGUAUCUAAAUAUUCGAUGUGACGGAUGCUAAAGAGUACUAGAGCAGAGCCUGGUUAAAAAUUGGAACGGGUGAGGGCUCGAGGGCUUAGUUAGCUUACUGAAUCCGGACAUCUAAUUCAGCCUCCUUGGAGGUCGCGAACACGACUUGGGGUGUGGGUGGGUGGCUUCAAACGAGGGAAAAGCCCCCCUGCACUUCACUGAGGAUCACGCAACAUAUUGUAAUAGUACAGUCGAAGCAGUCAGAUCCAUAUCGAGGGCGACUCAGCAGGCGUGGCUCCCCGUGCCACGGGCUGGAAAGGCGCCCAGCGUUCCUGGUUUCAGAAGCUUCUCAUGCGGGAAUGGCCACGCGUGUGCGAUCCCAAGUCCGUCCAAAAACGGCUUGGCCCUUUUGAGGACGGCCUGUGGCUAUAGGCUAAACAAAAGAGUAGUAGAGCUCAAAAUCUUAGGCCGCGGAUUAUAUUGGAGCAAGUAGUCAGUCGUUGCGCGCUAAUCGUGGCAUCGCAAGUCGGAGCUGCAGACCAACACUCCACACUAGCGCCCUACUGCUGGAGGCGUGCCUGACAGCCUGAGGAAUACGUCUUCUCCGGUCGAAUGCUGGUUUCGCAUACGUCUUCUCAAGGCAGCUACGGAUCAGAUUGACCAGCAAUUAUGAGUAGUAGCGCUUAGCCCUGACAAGGACGCGGGUACUCUUGACCGGAUCCCUAACAGACUCCCGGGAUGACUAGGUCCGUCCGAUGAUCCGAUCCGACGUGCUCGACGCGCCCACCGGUCUUUUCACGUCGUACGCUACAAGUUGGGGCGCGUCCAUGGCGACCGCCGGGACCGUACCAGCAGCUAGCAGCGGAGCAAAAAUCCAUUGACGACGGAUCGCGCCGGGCCACACACGAACUGCUCACGCUUUAAUGGAGAGAUCAGGAUUCACAAGGGGUGGGGGGUCCGACUGCCCCCGAUCGACGCGAGCCCCCGGUCGGUCUGAUCGGACUCACGCGCGCGCGGGCCUCACCGGUCGACGGCGACGGCGGGUCGGCGGCGACGGUGACCGUGACAUGUCAGCAACGCAAGGCCGCCUAAUUAAUCAGGGGUUUCUACUGUGCAGCGUCCUACUACUGCUAUUGCCCGUGUACUGCAUGUAUGGUGUACGCAUGCGAAUAAAUACAGGCACAUGCCGCCCUUCGCUGGUGAGCCUAUUAAAUGGGGCUGUAUGCCCUCAGGAUGAGGAGGAUCCGCCACACCUACCGGUCGGUGCCUACUGUAUGUAUCAUCAAGCACGAGACAGUUUGUUAGCUAGCCUCGGAUCGACGUGAACAGGGCCGGUGAUUUUUUUUUCCCUUUUUGGAGGAGGUCAGCAUAGCCGGUGAUUAGUAGUGACUUGUGAGAGUGAUUGAUGGAGAAGAACGGCCAUUAAGAGGAUAAGCCUGAGAUUACUGUGACGCCUACAAAUGUGAGUAACUAGUAAAGGAGCUCUCCAUGAAUUGUUCCUGAAGCUAAGCUGCUCUCGCCGUAUUGAAUUGUCAGCAACGAGCUUUGCUUCGCUAGUCGCUUCCCAUGCAAUUAAUGCACUAUCAUACACAUCGCAUUGGAUCCUUCCUCCGCCGAUCCCAUUCCCACCUACUACUACUGCCUGCUACCACUAAAAUAAAAAGAACUCGAGAAAAAGAAAAAAAACACUACUAAUCGUCUUGUCGUUAAUUUGCUUGGUUAAUCAUCAAAACACUAACCAGCACCGGCACCGGCAGGAAGGCAUCGAGAGAUUUGCUAGGCGAUCGAUUGCGGGGCACGCAGUGGAGCACUAGCCGCAGCGGGAGCCGGGAGCACCACUGGCACGAGCACGAUCAUCACCGGUGUCAGUGGCAGCACUACUCGAUCGCCUUCUCCUCCUCCUCCUCAUCCGCCACGUCGUCCUGGACGUCGGGCCCGGCGGCGCACGAGGACGACGACGAGGAGCAACAUGCGGCGGCUUCGUUUCCUCCGCCGCAUUGCUCCACCGCAGCUGCUGCGGUCGUCAAAGUUGUAGCAGAAGCGGUGGUCGCGUCGCCAGCGGCACUGGUGGUAGUGGCCGCCGUGCUCGUGCUCGUGCUGGUGGUGCAGCGGCUGCCACUGCUGCUGCUGCUGGUCGUGCUCGUCUCGGCGGCGGUGUCGGAGGGGGAGGACGACGCGAGGCCGAGGAGCAGGUCCACGAAGGCGCCCACGAUGAGGUGGUGGUGCUGCUUGCCGUUGAUCCGGAGGUACCAGGCCAGGAGCUCCUCCAGCGCCGCCCAGUCGCGGAGCCCGUGCGCGGACACCAUCUCCUCCAUGGACGCGCGGAAGUCGCCGUACGGGUCGCCCGAGUCCACCGCCACCGCCACGCUGCCCUCCGCCAGCGACUUCGACGACGGCGCGCACGGCUUCGCGUCGUCGACGUCGUCGUCUGUGUCGGGCGGCGUCGUCACCGUCUUCGUCUUCGUCUCUGUCUUCGCCUCCGCCGGGGAUGGGGCGGCCGUCGCGAGGAUGGAGUUGGACGCCGGCAACGGGCCCGGGUCGAAGAAGAAGCGGUCGGUGGACGUGCGCCCGAGGCUGCGGAUCACGGCCUCCGACCACUCCUCGGACGCGGUGGUGGUCGAGAAGCUGUCGACGUCGUCCAGCAGCUCAUCGCCCUCCUCCACCUCGUCGCCGGCGAGGGAGAAGAAGUCGACGUCCGCGGCGGGGUCGUCCAAGUAGACCGAGUUGACCGUCUUGUACAUUUCGCCGGGCGACGCCCCGCGGGCCAUCAGCUUAUUGUUCCCGGCCGUAGCAGGGGCGCCGCCCCGGCUUGCACCGGCUGCUGCCGACGUCGUGCAGCAGGGCUCCUCGCCGCCGGCGCCGGCGCGGAAGGAGCCGGUCUGCGGGUUGGUCCCGCAAGGGGGCCACGGCCACGGCGGGGUUGCCGCGCCGGCGGCGGGGGAUGAGGAGGGGGUGGAGUCGACGAUGAGUCUGGAGAAGAUGGAGGCCAGGCCUUUCUUGCCCAUUUCUUGGCGGUCGAUGGAUGGAUGGAUCGAGGGAAUGCAGCGGGGCGACGAUGGAUGGAAUGGAGAGAAUUAAUGGUCCCGAGCUCGAACGACUUGAAGGAGAUGGAGAGAAGGAGAGGGAGAACGGGGAGUUGAAGUGUUGAAGUGGUUGAGGAGUCGGAAGGAAGGAGAGGAGGCCGGGCUGAGCUCGUCAAGCUGAACGCUGGCUGAGGCUGGCAGGCUGCAAUUAAGGGAGGGAGGGAGGGAGGGAGGGAGGAACAUGGGGAUGGGCCCGUGGCUCAUGCAUGUGCCCGUACUUGCUCUGUUGGUUAGACGGAGAUUACAGGGACUGGCCAGCAUUGGCCACAAGAGACGACGACCGUGCCAUUGUUUGGUGUACACACAAUGCACUUGUGUUACGUAGCACAUGACGGAGCUAGGUCAAAUUUUUGCAUGGCAAAAAAUAUGGCCACCCAAAGCCAUCUUACUCGCAUUCCAUUUCUGACUGACCACCCAGCGUUAUCAGUUACUCCAUGACUCCUCUCUUUAGUUUCUCUGAAACCAUGCCUCGUGCUUUUAUAUUUUUUAAUACAUCCCUCGUCUGAAUGAUUAUGAAGCCGAGAACGCAUGAUUUCUAGGCUGUCGGAUCAGGAUGGAACACUUAACACCGACUUGUAUUUCUUUCCUUAUCUUCUCCUAAACAGCACAGCUGUUGCUGCUAGACGGUCUCUCCUCUCCCUCGUUGCCAUUGUAUUGUGACGAAGUAUACUUUAGUGCGACGAAAAUCAAUGCUGUAACUGUAACCACCUUUUGCAACUGAAAGUGAGCUUCAUUUGCAUGCCCAUCAACAGCAAGUAUACACGGAAGGAAUUUGAAAGAGACCCUGCACGGCUGCACGAAUGGCACGGCAAUAAGCUACCUGUACUCUUGUUUCUUGAGACGAACUACCUGUAAUCUUGUUGCAAAUGCGGCACAGUAGCAGCAGCCUAGGAUCCGGGUGUGGAUCGACCAUCGAUUGCAUUGCACUUGCACGGUGAGAGUAAAUUAAAAGCUCACGCCCCGUUGGUUGGUGGGUGCAGGUGCAGCGACCCCAACGAGUUACCCCUUACUCGGCGCGUCGCUGUAGCAGCCGCAUGCAGUAGCGACCGGGGCGGCGGCAAUGUUUCAUUCCGAGCGGACUGCUGCUGGCCACUGUGUGACUGUGUCACGCUGUCACUGUGCACGCCCGGGCACGCACCUGACCCCGGGCAGGGCAGGCAAUCUUUGCGUGCGCGGCGAGCAGAGCAUGCUCCGUAACGGCACGAACCGCGGGAAGAUGCUGCGGUUCACUGUAUGGGCUCGAUCUUGCCGUGGUUCGAAAUAGCAACGCAUUUUGAUCUAGUUUUUUUUUUCAUGUCCUGCCGCGGAGAUCUAUCUGAUGAUUCUGAUCGCUUGGCCCCUGCACACCACUGCGUGAGAGUUAGGGCCUGUUUGCUAACAAGGUGUUAAAGUUUAACACUCGUCACAUCGGAUGUUUGGAUGCUAAUUAGGAGUAUUAAAUAUAGACUAAUUACAAAACUAAUUGCAUAGAUGGAGUGUAAUUCGCAAGACGAAUCUAUUAAGCCUAAUUAGUUCAUAAUUUGACAAUAUGGUGCUACAAUAACCAUUUGCUAAUGAUGGAUUAAUUAGGCUUAAUAGAUUCGUCUCGCAAAUUAGCACAGAGUUCUGCAGUUAGUUUUAUAAUUAGCUCAUAUUUAGUUCUUCUAAUUAGCAUCCGAACAUUCGAUGUGACACUGUUAAAGUUUAACGCCUCGUAUCCGAACACCGCGUUAGACUGAUCGCCGGUGCGGUCACCGUCGAUCCAUGCGCCUGCUUGGUUUUUAUAGUAUUCGACAGGCAUCCUGCUGGCGCAUAGCAUAAUUGCUGCACGGUGCAGUUUCGUCCUCAGAAAAUAAUGUUUUCACGGCGGGCUGGAACCGGACUGACCAGCCCAGCAUUUCAUUCUCUCUCUUUUUUUAAAAAAAAAAGAAAAGAAAAAUGAAAACUUCCUGCUGGACAGUAUAAAAAAGAAGAUGUCCUGGCUAGAAGCUCGUUCCGUCAUCCGUGGAUGCGGAAUAGGCGGAGACAAGGGCUAGUACCAACGUUUAUUUACGAACAAGAUAAAAUGGAAGAUUCGCAAGGUGUGUUUGAAACAGCUCUAAAAAAAAAAGGUGUGUUUGAAACUUUGAAUUCGUGGCCAUGCGCGCGCAUUGCUUCAAUUUUCAUUUUUCUUUUUCCGAUUUGUGUUUAUGCUUCAAUUUCCAACCUUCUCCCGAUCUGUGUGUACCGGUUCUCUUCCGUACUCCCGUGGUCCCGCCGAUCAAAACCAAGAUAUCGGCCAAACUUCUUUUACCUUUCGACCAUCUGCUUGGAAAUGAUAACAUCCUUUUUUCUUGCAGAAAAUUGCACAGUAAUAAGUAGCGGAAUCGGAAGGAUAAAGAUUUGAAUUGCCAUGUUUCCCUACAAAUUCCACACAAAUUCGGAGGAUGUAUCAGUGCCACUAACAUUUAUAGUUAGGAUCCAAGGGCUUCGCAUCAACGAGCGAAUUUUCCCCAGAAGGGAAGAGCAGACAAAGAAAGGCAGGUACUGGUAGCUCACUAGCCCUGGCUGGUCAGUUUCAUACUAGAUCCAAAAAUAUCGAGUACUGGCGCCAAACGUGACGGCGACCAUACGCAGGAAAUUAAAAGCCCUGUAGCAGGGAAAUCAUGCGGAAGGGCUGAGGCGCUGUCGUCCGCUGGUCAUGCAAUCCCCAUGAAAUUCUGGCAAGCCUACAAAGGAGCCGAGAGGUACGUGCGCCCAAGCGCUUUGACGACGCUGCACGCCCGCAACCGACGUUCUUGGCAUCUUCCUUCCGCCGGUGGGAGCUCCACCAAACAACAAUAGCAUAGUAUCCGUUGAUCCGGUGUCGCAAAUGCUGAGUCCUCGUUGCCUGAAUGGAGUAGAAUGCAAUGAUACCAGUCGUGUUCAGAGACAGAGACUUUCAGAGUUCAGAGUUUCAGAUCCCGAUGGCCUGGAUUAUUGAUUGUCUGAUGACCUACAUUGGUAAAUGAAAGAGGAAGUUUUUUACGGGCUAAAUGGCUGUUCGUUUUGUGCCUGCCGAGAGAUACGUAGGUAGCAACACGAUUGGGGCAAUCUGCAAAUUAACACAGGAGAAGCUACGACUGUAGACCGCCGUCGGUUUGAUCUGUUGUUGUGGCCGUCAGAAUUAACAAGCUGCUUACUUAUCCUUACAGCCAAAGGAACACCGUGCCUGAUCAUGCUUUACUAGGCACGUGAGCAUCACAUGGAUACAUGGUUGACCGCACGAAUAAAACAUAUAUACUAGUGUUUUUUUUUCCACUGUGAUACCAAGCUCAGAGUCAGACGAUGUGGAGGAGUUUCAGAAUUGUCGGCGCAGCAUCAGCUUUGCUGUCCUGGCAUAUACGUGGCCUGUCGCCGGCGCUGCAAACCACUCCCGAAUGCUACUGAGAUAACGAAAGAUCUCAAGACGAUCCCUCCUCACCUCGUCAGUGCGCGCGGCGAGCGUGCUAUUAUUGGAACUGGCUAGUUAGUAAUUAAAUUAUUGGCUUCAGCGACAGCAAGUGCACACAUGGCUGUAUGAUUUGAUCUGAAACUACCUAAUACCGCCACAUUUUCUUCGUGGAUGCACGCGUACGGGCGCAUACGCACUCCAAUUAUCAUCCAACCAACAGUGCGAGAUAUAAAAUCCUACUACAAAGCUAUAAAAAUACACUAAAAAUGAACUACUGGCGGUCUAAAAUAAAUACUGAUGACGAUGCUUGUCCAAUGGCUAACGUGAGUAUACACACAAGAUUCUACACAUUAGUAGCUCAUUUUCACCCUAUCACUAACAGUAGGUACAGUACCCAAUUGUCUUUUCGUAUGCAUGGCAACCGUGGCGCUGUGCAUUGGCAACGAUCUCCCGCUGUACGAUGCACUGUAGGUCCAUGUGAAGCUUCAGUCGCCCGCAUGUAUGCGUACGCUCGGUAGAGGCCGGGCCAGUCACCGUCGCAUGCAUGUGUACGACGACCCUACAGAUACUGCUGGCCGGAGCUGCCAACCACAGUGCCGUGUGCAGAGCCAUUUUAGCUGCACCUGUAGUUUUUCACGACACUUGGUGAGGCGGGUAGAAAUCUAAAAUAAUCUGGGUACACACUUACGACAUGUACGCUACCGUCUAGAUCUGCUUGGAGCUUGUAGCUGGCUGUGCUGAUGUGGGUGUUCCUAGAUCUGUUCCAAGCUGAAACUGAAUUGUCAGUAGUGAGAACGACACUUGGUGCGGCUGGGAAAGAGUUGCUAGCCUUUGGGCCCUUUUCGGCCUGGUAACAAGCAUUUAUAGGCCGCAAAUAUGCAAUCUGGACGGCGGGGUGAUGGGCCGCUCUCAUGGGCCUCCAAGGUGACGAAAGGAGUCUCCUCUCUCUUGGAGUUACGCAUGGGCGUGGCCCAAAGCCCAAAGUUCAUGACCGCGCGUACGGCCGGAUUCUGUUGGAGUUCGAUGACAUCUCUCAAGAGUCAAGAGGAUGUUUUGGGUGCGGUGGCGUAGAAAUGCACAGACAUCAUCAUCGGCGUGGUUGGGCAUGAAUGCGAAUGCGAUGGACGCCCAUGCGGGCACGGAGAAGAGGAGGUCAUGAGCGCCAUCGGUACGUGUGCCACUCGCGUCUACGUUCAUAACGAUCGGGCAUCAGCGGUUUUCUUCGAUAACCGUCCGUCCUCAAACCGUCAAACGCCUUCUUCUUCUUUUCUUUAUACGUUUGAGUAAUGACUUAAAAGCUGGCAGGAAGGAGUCAGAAGCAGGAUCAAAGAAGCCCAUGGAUCUUGCAUCUAUCCAGCUACUGAGACGGAGCUGCCUGAGACGACUGAGUGACCGAGAGACAAGAGCAUAACUCAGCAGGUGGCUGCUUUAAACCGCGCGCGCAGGAGACGAGUAUAUACGUAGAUGGAUGCCUCCUCCCUGCAGAGCUGAGGUCGCAACAUUAUGGCGCGCCUUGAUGGCGCACUUGUAAGCAGAAGCAGGCACGCAGAGACGAGCCGAAAUGAAUUAAAUCCAUGGGCGCGAGCUGGCUCUUGGCUAUGGCUAGCGCGGAGGAGUACGUACGGCUCCUACUACGCGGCUCUCCUCUCCUCUCCUCUGCCGCCACUACUAAAUUCCUGUGACGCAGCACGCAACCAUCGCCCGUCGCUUCGAGCGAGCUGCAUCUGCAUUGGCAUUGCGUCGCGUCGCGUCGCGUCGAGCCGCACCGCACGCCAUUACUCGCGGCGAUCCUCCCCUCCUCCCUCCCCUCCUCCCAACUGCAUGCAUUCAUGCCGCUUUCUUACUUCUGCCCUGCCGCCCGCGCGCGUAUGAUGGAUCAUGUUAUAUUGAUGGUACGCCUCGAUUCAUUUCAAAGCUCUCUCUCCCUCUCACGUUCGCUAAACAAGAUGGAGAUUGACACCCUCGUCAGAGACAGAGACAGGACAUGACCUUCAAUGUAAUACGUACGACGUGGUUUAGUCUCGCAUCGAAAAUUCAUCUAUUGCUCGGUAAACCGUGGCUCUUCUCCCCCAAUCGGAAAUUCAACAUUGAUCUGGGGCGUUAGAUCCUGACCGGAUGGUCCAGGAAGAAGACGUCCCUCUGCCUCUGCUGCCUCGGUAGGCAAAUGCAGAGGAUCCUCUCCCUGCCUGCAAGCAAGUGAUCCCUGGUCCACUUGGAAGUGACCUCUGUUUUCUUCUCCUAUGCCCUUCAUUAUAUUCGGUGCAUCGCUCAGCCAGUAAUAAGUUAAUGCGCCUUAAUGCUUAGUAGUAAGCUCAGGUUCCGCAGGUGCUUGGCUUCCGCUACAGCAUGCAUCAUUGAGUAAUGAUGCCCUUCUUAUUUGCUUCAGUCCUCUUCAGUGUCCCUCUGCGCGUUGCAGUGGGCACCAAGGCCUGCACCUGGCAGACCAUCAAUCAACUGCACGCGACACGUACGGGGUAGUAGUAUUCAAACACGUUUGCAUAAUCCUGUUGAAAGUUGUUGAACGCGACGCGCCAUCUCUCCAUGACUCCAUGCAGCACAAAACCGCUCAUGGAGCAGGACUGGACUCAAGUUCGUUCCUCUUCUUUGACACGAGAACAGUGCCGAAACCACAGUCACUCCGGCCAGCUGCACAAAUCAAAGCCCAGCUGGACCAAACAGAACAGAUGCAAAGAGCACCGCACUAAAUCAUUGCACACCACGACUUGCUAGGUUUAAAUAGAAACAGAGAGAAGAGCAGCUCAGGAUCAAUGUUCUUGCAUCUGCAAAGGGUAAAGUUCCAUUGCAAAUAUUAAUUUUCUUCAGCUAAACCGGAGGGAGAUUACAACUGAAAACACCACCGCAACCAUAAUAAGUCUCCACCACACGUACCCUACAACGACACAACCUAAUCAACAGCAUCCAAAUAAACUAAGCUGCUACAACUAGCCUCCUGCUAAUGAGGAAGGAAGGAAACCCUGUCCAGUGGAUGAUCCAACGGCAGUCACUCCCCCACCCCCUGAUCGAGCUAACCGUCCGUAUGAGCAUCCACUGGCCGGGCGCACCAUCAAUCUUGGCUCCUUUCUUCACUUGCGCUUGCCGCCGCCACCGCCGGCCUCGCCGUGCAGGAGGUCCACGAGGCAGGGCUGCUUGCAGUUGAUGCAGGUCGGGUAGUCCUUCUUGGCCACCAUGCAGUACAUGAGGCAGCGGGUGCAGGCGCCGAUCACCAUGGGGGACUUGCUCCCGGGGCUGCCGCCGCUCGAGCUCCGCCCGUCCGACGACACGCACGAGCUCGGAGACGACGAGUCACUGUCGUCCUGCCCGACCUCCAUCCCCACGGCCGCCGGCGGGGACAGGUUCAGCUGCAGCUCCAGCCUCGCGCUCCUCACCCCGCUACCGCUGCCCCGGCUCAUGGCUCACUCUCACCACCUGAGGAUCACAGACACCACAACCUAUCAACAAAGAAUGAUGAACAAGAACACAGAGCAGAUACAGAGCUCCUGAUACCUGAAGCAAGCCUGGAGGAUGGGAAGAGGAGAUGAGAACAGCGAAAGAGAUGAGCUUUGAUGCGUCUGGUUGAGCGGCUAGGAAGUUAUAUAGGGCAGGGCAGGCAGGGGGUGUCAAGUAGGGGAGAGGUCAAUGCUUCUCUUUACUUGGCAUUAAUGCAAAAUAACAAAGCCCCCACGUCCUCCUCUUCUUCCUCCCUACUGGACUACUGUCUCCUUCAAAUCUCCUUCUUUCUCUCACUGUGAUCCUAUCCUAGUGUCUAGAAGAUCACAAAUUGAAGCCCUGCGAUAUUCAUGCGGCGUCCUCCAAGAUGAUGUUUUACUCCACAAAGAUGACAUAAGGUUGCAGCACUUGUAUUCAGCUGCUGGAACCAAACCGCUCUACUCUACUCCGCCCCAACACGCCCUCCCUGCAGCUGCAGUAAAAAUGUAAAACAGAGACACCCAUGAAGUAUGAACUAUGAAGUAUGAAGGGAAGGAAAUAUUGUCUCCAGCUAGCCAUCAGUUGAGGUUUACUCUUCCUUUGAUAACCCUUUUCAUCUCUCUCUCUCUCUCUGUGUGUGUGUGUGUGUGUGUGUGUGUGUGUGUGUGUGUGUGUGUGUGUGUAUGUACAUACAUAUACAUACAUACAUACAUAUAUAAUAUGUAUGUAUGUAUGUAUGUAUGUAUGUAUGUGACUCCACCGUGCAGUGCAGAGCUGCUGGCAGGCAGUACCGGUGAGUAAUUUUACGCCAUACUGUUGGCAGCAGCUGCAUAUAGUUUUAGCACCUUGAAUGCUCCUUUAUGGUGAGAUUUAUGGCCGCAGCAGCUGAUCAAAGGGUUCUACUCCCAUCUAGCAAAGUAGUAAAUGUGCAUCGAUGAGCCACUGCUUAUGUGAAUCGACUCACCUUAAAUAUUAAAGCCACUUUAGGUAAAUAUAAAGCCUUUUUUCUCAAUGUUAAAAGUAUGGAGCCUGUGAAGAGAGGCCGGCCGAGCCGUGCAUAUAUUACUUACCUGUGCCUUUGCAGCCUAUAUCCGUCAAUGCCGUUUGCUCUUCAAUGAGCUUCCAUGCUUUACUUUUGGUGCCUCAAGGAUGCAACUUGUGAAAUGACAUCUAACCAACAAGCAUUUAGAACCGCGUUGAGUAUUUAUUUCCAUCCUCACAAUCAGCUUAUGAGUCACUCUACUAAACCUGUAGCACUAAAUCCAUCUCUUACGGAAUCGUUUAAUAAAAGAAGAUUUACUCUUGCCAAUUUAAUCUGACAAGCAGGUCUACAGCAUCUUAGGGUUGACUCUGAGUAGCAAUUCCGAUUCGAGUAUGUAACUAUGUUGAUAAAUGACAAAACACACACAUAUUCUAGAGCGUGGUCAAGACCUCCCUCUGCACCAAAAAGGAAUGGUACAGAAAUUCUCAUUGCUUUUAACAAUUCCAAAGUAACCAGACUAAAACAUGCCUAAUAGAAAAGUACCAGCAAAACAUACUAUUUCAGCUGAAGUUUUAUUUGCAACUCUCUAGCCGACUCUGGAGAUUUUCUGCGCUAGCAACACAAUGAAGGAAACGUCCAAUCCAAUUAUUUAGCACUGUGCAUGAUCUAGGCUUUCUCUGCAUGAUUGAGGGAUCAGGAGGCAUAACAUAUUGCAGAGACGGAAGUGUAUUAUGCAAACAUGCUAGUUUAAGCUUCUCAUAGAAUAGUUUGCAAUAGUGAGAAGAAUAAACUCGGAUUAGAGAUUACAAUAGAAGGGAUCCUACUCACUUGGUUGGAUGGAUCCGGCCGAAAACGAAAAGAGCUGCCUCACGAUCCUAUUGUACUUCAGUCAGGACCAAGUCAAGUUAUCAACAGUGAAGACUGACACACAAUAGGAUCCACUCAAGGUGAGAUACUCACUCCUGAGCUGUUAGUCAUACUCAUACGUAGAUAUGGGCGACAUGUCAUUCCCCGAGAAUGAUUUUGCCAUCGAGACCUCUCAUCUGCAUGCCUUUAAGUUCAAAUACAUAUAAUAAUAAACCAAGUAAAGGACAGUCAGAUCUUUAAUUCUUAUGCAAUAAAAUCAGCCACAGCCGAAGCAGAGCACUUCAAUGUUCUAGCUUUGAAUUACAUGUCAAUUUCACCAGACUAGUCUGAACCAGGGUUAUCAAUAUCCUGGUGGCAGAAAUUAAUAUAUGCACACAUAACUGUAUAAAUCACUGAAAAGAUGAAACAUGUACAAUGCAAAUAUUGAUUGAACCAUGGCAUCAACAUAUUUAAUUGAGACUUCAAGACUUAUGGAUACAGCUAAGAGUUGGCCGACACUUUGUGAACUUUAUUGAUUUUGUAGUGCCUUAGGAAACCGUUUGUUUUACAUUUUGUGGCACCCUAAUCAAGAUAUUGGCAUUGCUUAAAAAUUCAGCAAACUACAAGCUCUCUUUCAACAUUUAUAAGCUCUAGGCGUCUCUGGCAUCAGCCAUGGAUAGUCCAAUGCUAGCAGUUAAGUUGGCAUCGUUCCUCAAAAUGUUUGUAAAUUACCAAAAAAGAUGAAACAUCGACAUUGCAUUACAUGAUCGAGCCAUGACAUCAACAUAAUAAUCGAGAAUUCGCAACAGUCCAUAAACAUUUUUGAAACUGUUUUUUGAGGCAAGUUUUUGAAACUUUUGAUAGUGCAAUGAUGUCUUGAAUUGGGAAACCUUUUGACUUACAUUUUGUGGUACCAUAAAAACGAUAUCUCGGGUUCACUUAAAAAUUCAACAAAUUUGAAGGCCUUCCACUGAACUAAGGCCCUGUUUGGAGCCUCCGGACUAAAGGUUAGUCCGAUGUUAGGAUGCCAAUUAGGAUGACUAAACAUGAGCUAAUUGCAAAGCUAAUUGCAUGUCACAACUAAUUUAUGAGUAGAAUCCAUUGAUCCUAAUUAGACCAUAAUUAGUCCAUGUUUACUGUAGCACAACAUGAGCUAAUCAUGGACUAAUUAGGAUCAAUGGAUACUACUCAUCAAUUAGACAUAACUUAUGCAAUUAGUUUUACAAUUAGUUCAUAUUUAGUUGUCCUAAUUGGCAUCAAAACAUUAGACUAAUUUUUAGUCCGAGGGCUCCAAACAGAGCCUAAGAAUCACUUCAACAUUUAUAAGGUCUGUGCACCUCUGCCAUCCCACCUUCGGCUAUGGAUUGUGAGUCCAAUGCUAGCAGUUAAGUUGGCAUCUUCCUCAAAAUGGGCAACGGCCUUUAUGAGGCCAGAGCUGUAAAGACGGCUAUCUAUAUAAAAAAGAAAGAAAGAAGAAUCUGUUUAAGUCUUUGACUAGAAAGCUUGAAUUAAUUCAGCAACCAGUGCUGUCGUGGGUGAUAAAAUCUCAUUGAUAUCUUUCAAUGGCACAAGUACAAAUAACUCGAGAAAAUAAGGAGUACUGUCUAUGGAUAGAAUCAAUACAUGAUGGAACAGAACCGCCUCUUAACUUAUGCACUGCAGCGUAAUAAAAGUGAAGUGAAUUCUAGUACUUUAUUUCUUGUUAAAAUUACUAUUUUGAUGGAUGUACCAGACAGCUGAGCUUGUACAAGAUGAGUAUGUACGACCACAUCCACAUGGCAUACAGCAUAUAAGCCCAUGGAAUGGAAGUAUUCAGAACUCUAAUAUCUGGACCCCAGUGCAAGAAGUAUUAGUAGUCCCAAUAGAGAGAGAAUAUUUGCAGUACGAAACAAACAGCUCAGUACAGUGGCAAUAGCAGUGCACAAUCAAUAUAACUGAACAAAUUAAUUUUGUUAGUACCUUAACUUCGGCAUGAACUAAAAGGCCGAGAGCGUUCGGUGGAAGAAGAUCGUGGAACUCCAGAUCACUUGCGGUCCCAUCGGAUCGGAGCAUCGGACACAGAUACUGGACCAGAGAUGCACAGAUGGAGUUGUCAGGCAACCGCGCCGUCUGCUGCUCGCCUCCCGGCAGACAUCCCUUGGUGAUCUAGUCGCAACUGGCAAGCACAAACACGAGUUAGGUGGAUCGCCGCCACAUGAUAAACCUGCUGCCCGCGAGAACACCUGGGCUACCUUGGUUUUCCGGCUGCGAAGUUUCAUCGAACACGGUGUGGGCAAGCCGGCAUGGCCAGGACCAGAGAGGAAACCUGGAGGACUGGACUGGACGUCUGGACCACCAACGCCGCCAGCGACAGAUCAUGCAUGGUUGUUUGUCAUGGAUGUGGGCAUGUGGCCGUGUGGAUCACCUGCUCCUGCUCGCCGGAAAGCGCAUCCAGCGCGUCGCCCGCACCGCCGCACGCCGUCGUCGGCGCCCCGCCGCGCCACACCCGGCCCGCCUCCGGCCCAAGAAGCGGCCGGCCCUUGUAAUUAUUUGAGAUGGGCCGCCAUCUCCUGGGCCUCGGCUUCUGAGAAGGGAGGGAAAGCGAGAAAGCGAAAGGCCCAUGAAGCGAAGGCGUCCCUUGGUGGCGCGAGGGGCCGUCCAGUUCGGUUACAGUGAGAACCCAAAAAAGAGAAAACAAAAACAGGAAAAAAGGGAAAGAAAAAAGGAUCGCGAGGAGUUCAAUUGGCAGUUGCCGAGCCUGAGCGCGCUCGCCCUCGCCGUCGACGUUGCCGGCGGCGAUGGGAAACUCACAGGCUUCACCGGCGUCCGCCUCCAGCUCCCGCUUCGCCACGGCCUCCAGGUACCACCACACUCACAGCUGCCACCUCCAUCGCUGCUGAGAUUCGCGAGCCUUGUUCCGGUGAUCUCACUGCCGCGCUUCCUCGCAGGGCCUUCUCGAAGCAGGAGCUGGAUAGCCUCCGCACUCUAUUCAGCUCCCUCGCAGCGCAGUCGCAGACCAGUGGCCGUGCCAUCUCACGCCCCGUCUUCCUCGUGAGCAACCGCGUUCGCCCCCAAUUGCUUCGAAUUGGGUUUGGAUCUUGCUGGAUUUUUAUGAUGGCUUCUGACGGGUGUGUCUCUCUUCGUGCAGGAGUACUAUGGGGUGCGGGGCUCGUUGGGCGAGAGACUAUUCCAGUUGGUGGCGAAGGAGAGUGGUGGGAGCGAUGGGGUCACAUUCGAGGAUUUGAUCAUCUCCAAAGUUGGUACCUCUUCUCUAAUGCUCGACUCAAUUCGAUCCAUUCUGUUGUUCAGUUAGUUGCUGCAAGUGAGAGACGUUGGUGGAAUUGAUCGAAUAAAUUGUAGACAUUGAUGCAAUAUUGCUCAAUAGAUUGCUGAUAUGCAUGCAUAGACCACUUCAGUGCUUUAAUUCAGACAUUCAAUGAGGUGUUUCACUGUGAUCUUAUAAACUUGUCUACUUUGUGUGUAUUCUUGUUUAAUUUUUUUUCUUUGUUACAUGUAGGCAACAUAUGGAAGGGGAACUCGAGACGAGGUUGAUGAAUUCAUUUAUCAACUAUGUGACGUUACAGGAGAUGGUGUCUUAACCAGGUGCAGCCCGAGAUAAAUGAUUUCCUUCUGAUGCAUUGAUGUGUCAUGUGUGAAUUGUGUCCUUUGCUAAGCUGGUUCGAUAGUCGAACGCUUAAAAUUUGAAACUACCUCAAACAAAUGUGCUACAAAAUGCAAGUGAUAUGAAUGAGGAGAAGGUCUCUUGCUACCAUUGGCCCUCUAUGCAUUUCCAUUGCAUACUUUAGGUAGUACUUUCACUGGGUGCAAUUGAAAGAGAUGAGUUUGUUUGCAUUUGGAAAAAUUUAUGCUUUUCAUUUUAACAGGCUUAUGAUUUAUACGGUCGUUGAUGUUCUUUUAAUCAAGUUUUAGUCAUCAAUUGAUAUUUACUCUUGCAUUUACCUCUCUCGUGCACUGCCAGGUCUGAUUUGGAAUCUGUCUUGGCGUCCAUUCAUGAAACUAUAUUUGAAGAAAACAAGGAAGUUGGGGAAGGUUCCAAUAACAGACCGUUUGAAGCAUUCCUCAACUCUGCAGUAUUUUCGAAGGAUGCUGAAGCGGUCUCAGAGAAGUCUAUGUCAUUAUCAGACUUUAGGAACUGGUGCACUCUCUUGCCAUCAUUGAGGAAGUUCCUUGGAAAUUUGUUGAUGCCCCCUGAUUCAGGUCUGUCUUAUUCUUGUAAUUCUGCUGGUAUUCCUAAACGCAGCAUUUCCAUCAUUAAAAUAAAAUAAAAUAUUGUAUAUCCAGUCCAUCUGAUGGUGUAGGAGUAGGACUGGCAAUUUUUCCUCAGGCUGCCCCCAUUAGUCUUCACAUCCAGGAAUUGACACAGUGCUGAUUCACAUGAUGACCGGGUUGAAGUUUUUGCACGCUUCUCUCAUUUUUUUUUGCACUCACUACUAAACAGCUGAAGUGCUAGGGAGAACAUCAUAAGCAUGUGCUCACAGAAGUUUCUCAUGCACAGAACAAUGUGAAAAAUACAAGCCAUACAAUUCAAGAACUUAUACUAUUUUCUUGAAAAAUGGGGCGUUCUACUGCAUUAAGAAUGUUCCUCUCAAACUUGUACAAGAAGAAGCAGAGAUAGAAGUUCCAUUAUCGAACCAAUACUUUCUAAGUCUCAAAACCAGAUCAGAUCAAAUAGUCCUGAGGCAUACAGUUUUUUGCCUCUUACAAACAUCUGACUCUUUCUCAAACAUCCUCAUUCUCCAUACUUUUACACCUUGUUCAUUGGCAAAUGCAGACAGCAGACACGAUGCUGUAGCUGACUGUCAGAAGAUGCCGACAUAACUUAAUAUAUCCAUCAAUAAUGCAAUUUAAUAUGCAAGUCAAUUUAGUAAAUGUGCUAACUGUAGCGAAUUCGAAAUUUUCGCAUUAGAAUCCGAAACAAAAGACACCAACUGGAAAUAAUAUGCGAUUUGCCUUAGUAGUUUUAUGUAUUUACUGCAUUCAGUUAUUAGGACAGUUCCUGUUACAAUUGUGCCAUUGUGACAAGGAUGGAACAGGAAUACACAUGAUAGCUUGGAGGACAUGUUGUGCUUGUGUUGCAUGAGUGACAGCAUUUGCUUUGUCUCCAUUUGUUUGAAUGAACCUUCAAAUCUAAUUCUUGUCCUACACACCACUUAAUCACUUAUGUCAUUUCACACUAUUGCCUGUUCAUUAUGAAAGAAAUUCUCGAUUAGUUCAGCACAUGCUAUCUGAAGUUGCACAUUUAUACCUUUAGCAUGUUUAUUAGUAUUUGAGAAGUUUAAAUGAAAUCUUAAUUUACAUAUGUUGAGGGCCAUCCGUAUCUGCAAUGCUUAUGAUAUAUCAUGGCAUGCUUUUGCUGACUUUAGUUUGUUUGCAGGCAGACCAGGGUUUGAAGUACCACUGCUUCACUAUCCUGAAAACAUCUCCACCGAUUUGCUUCUUUUAAAUAAAGAGUAUGCCUGGCAUAUUGGAGGUGGCUUUUCCCAACAUGAGGUGCAAGAAUGGAAGCUUUUGUAUCAUAGUUCUCUUCAUGGACAAAGCUUCAACACUUUCUUAGGCAAAGUAACGUGAGUACUCUUCAAUUUUGUAGAUAUGCUUGAGUGAAAGCCACAUUCUUUGACUUCAUUCAUGAUUACAAAGAUGCGUUACUCUGUAUGGAAAUGACAUAAUGAAACUAAGUUCCACCCUCAUGACAUGAUUUCAGUUAUUUUUCUUUGUUUGCAUACCGGCAACAUUGAGGCCAAUUCCAAUUUCUAAUAAUGUGCACAAGCUUGCCAGUUUCACAACCUACUGCCACGAUUCAUGAGAGUCCUUAUGCUUGUCCUAUAACUGCUUAUACUUUUGUAUUAAUAACUUUUGAACUAUAUAUGUAAUUCUUGGACAUGUUUUUCAUUUUAUAGGAAUGGUGAUGCGCAGACUGUUCUAAUUGUUAAAGAUACAGAAGGAUCAGUUUAUGGUGGGUAUGCAUCACAGCCUUGGGAAAGGCACAGUGAUUUUUAUGGUGACAUGAAGACAUUCCUCUUCAAAUUAUACCCUCAAGCAUCCAUUUUCCGCCCUACAGGAGCAAACAAAAAUUUGCAAUGGGUAUGCCUUGCUCAGUUCGAAGUAUCUUCUCUAUUUUAUUUCUUCACUGCAUAUGUAUUACUACUCAUCUCCAGAACUAUAAAUGGUAGUAAUCAUUAGCUUAUUUUGGCAGUGUGCUAUAAACUUCAGCUCUGAGAACAUACCUAAUGGCAUUGGAUUUGGAGGGCAGCCACAUCAUUUUGGGCUCUUUUUAUCUGCAAAUUUCGAUCAAGGGCACUCAUUUACUUGUAGCACGUUUACCAGCCCUCCUCUUUCCAAGACAAACAGGUUCAGGCCAGAAGUCAUUGAAUGUUGGGGAAUACAAAUGAGGGGAGCACAAGAUGAGAAACCGGAGCUUGUCAAGGGGACAGUCCUCGAGAGAUUCAAGGAGGACCGGAACAUGUUGAAGAUGGUUGGUUUGGCAAAUGCGAGCGAUUAAGGACUGACUGAGGAUCAUAACUGAGAACAUGCUGGAGAGGACCUGUACAGUACAUGUUUAUAAAAAACAAUCCCUCCUGAUACCAUGCCUGACUCCUUUUGUGUUCAUAUAUUUUAUCACUGUAAAAUUUUCGUUUGAACCAAAGUGAUGCGGAGCACACUGAAUGGAGCUCAUGAUUUAGAAUUAUAACUAUUGGCCUAUGUUUGUUCCCAACUUUGAACGACAAAGAAUUUAAUGGAAUGUUUAGCUUUAAGGUGAUCCAUCAUGAGUUCAUCCUAUGAAGUUUAGUGCGCUGACUUAAUCCCUCACGUCUAUACUAAUAUGUGAUUGUGACUUGUGAGGGACGAGGUGGUGAUGAAUUAAAUCACUCCAUCCCGCAGACCAAACAAAGAUACCAUGGGUGAGAAAGUGUUGGUAUGUCAUGAGAGGAUGCUGUGUCACCCAUUUCUCAAACAAACACUCCAUAACUGGGUGAUCCCCAAAUUUGGCUGGCAUAUUUGUGUGCUGUGCUUAAAACGACACCUGGCUACUGUUGCGUAUGCUGGCAAGCUUGUUCAUAAAAGCAUUCUAGGAAGUCACAGACCCCUCUAAACAAAUAUAGACAGGAAAUGGAGGAUAUUAUCUGUGCGAACUCACAUGCUCAUCCAUUCCUACACAGGUAAGGGAGGGGCAAAUAUAGACAGGAAACCAGGAGAGGAUCAAUUGCUUGUAUAUAGUGAAUUAGUGAUAUAUCUGUAACUUGUAAACUAGGCAGGCAAAAUCUGCAACCUACACAGAGGCUUAGCAUCCUUCUCGGCAAUUGCUGCAUUUUACCAUUUUCCUGGCCGCUGGAUCAUGUACCAUUAUUCCGUCACAAGUUUAAAAGAGUGCUCCUUUGCCCCUUGAAACUGACGGGUCCUCUAAUAUAUUCCUUAUUAGCUUCGGAUUUAUUGGCUAUACCUUUUUUUUCCCCCUGAAAUGGUCUUCCUGUUUUUUCUUUAGCAAAGUUUAACAUUGAUAACGUGUUCAUCUGCUGUCCACGAGAUUCACAGUGAGCCUGCAGGUUUCUUGAGCAUGUACCUCUGCUCUGAUUGGAAGUUGAUGAGAUCAGCAAGUUUGUUGCAAGAACAUCUUCACUACUUAUGUUGGAUACUCAAUAGGGUAGUUAUGCUGAAACGAACACCAAUGGUGAAACAUGUAUUCUAUUUCUUAUGAUACUUGUAUAUGCGAACUCACACGCUCAUCCAUUCGUACACAGUUAUACGCAGCCACACAGGUAAGGCCGGAGCAAAUAUAGACAUGAAACCACGAGACGAUCAAUUGCUCGUAUAGUUUGGUAAACUAAGCUGGCAAAACCUGCAACUCACACAGAGGCUUAGCAUAUCCUCCUGGAAGCUGCCCCGAUGCCUUUUCAUAUGGGCAUUUUACCAUUGUAUUUAUUGGCCAUCGAAUCAUGUACGUUUAUUCACCUACAUGUUGUAAAAGAGUGCUUCUUAUUAUGCACUUUGCACUUAUGCUUUUUCCUCCUGAAAUUAUCUGCCCUCUUGUUAGCAAUAAAGCUGAACAUCGAUAACGUGUGCGUGUCGUGUCCAUGAGAUUCACAGUGAGCCCUGUAGGGUUCUUGAGCGUAUAGUACAUCUGCUCUGGUUGGAAGAAGUUGAGACCAGCAAAUUCGUUGCAAGAGAAUCUUCACUAAUGUUGUGUACAUAACGAUGCAGAAAUGAGCACCAAUAACGAAACAACACGAGAUGAAGAUAGAUUACUAAUGUUAAUCCAGCGAAUUAAUUUCUUUCCCCACCCUUUGAAGUUUGAAGCCGUUUCCCCGUUUAUGUGUAAGGCUCACCGUGUUUCUUUUUUCGUUCUUCCCUUAUAUUUUGCCAGGAGACGAUAGACUAAAAGAUUACUGUUGCGUACGCUGGCUACCUUGUUCAUAAAAGCAUUCUAGGAUGUGGUAGGAGUAUCCUAUUUCUUGUGAUGCUUAUCUGUGAGGAAAGCUCAUCCAUUCGUACACUACAGGCAAGGGAGAUGAUGAAAAAAAGCAGGAUGCUGUAGCAUAGGCUGCCAAGCUUGUUCAUAAAAGCAUUUUAGGAAGUCACAAAACUGCCUAAACAAACUUGUAUUCUAUUUCUCUUGUGAUACUAACCUGUGUGAACUCACAUGCUCAUCUAUCCAUACAAGGGUAAGUGAGGAGCACAUAUAGACAUGCUCAUCCAUUCCUACACAGGCAAGGGAGACGAUACAUUAAGCAGCCUAAUGUAGCGUACACUGACAAGCUUGCUCAUAGAAGCAGUUUUAGGCAGUAAAAAGACUCCCUAGACGAACUGGGAUUCUAUUUUCUUCCGAUACCGGCCCGUCUGUGCAGCAAACUCACAUGCUCAUCGAUUCCUACAAAUUCACAUCUCGCGCAUAUUAUCUUGACCUAGAGGUAUGGAGCAUUUGGACAAAGAUCCGUCUGUGCGGUUCGCCUUUCAGCCUCAGGGGAACCAAUACAGGAUGCCCGACUCGGCAUUUCUCUCCUUCGGCGGAGGUUAUCCCGACUUCUUCGGAUUUUUCGUUGGCGCUCGUGGGUCAUCAUUGCUGAGGCGGAGUGUUUCUUUCCACCCCGACAGGCGGUGUUUGAUCGCUGGGACGGUCUCAAGGCGCGCACCAUUGACGACCCGAUGGGACACAAUGUGCUCCUCACCUACUUGGCGACCAACUGGAGGACCUUCUCUUGUGCGAUUCUGAGCUGGUACAAGCAUGGCCACUACUCUUUCAUGUCGGAAGCGCCCAAGAAAUGCACUUGGACUUGAACCCUGAUGAGUCAGAGUUGAAUUAUGACCGAGCGAGUAUGGCUGUAUGCAUGGGACUAUGGGAGUUGUUCGAUCGUGUCGACUGUGGACACGUGUUCUACUGAGUUGUUUGUGGGGGCUGCGGAGUAAAUGUGACCCAGCCAAUGAAUAAAAUAAAAUGAAGGCUUGAACCGUAUGUCAAUUUCCAUUAAUAAUGUCUUUGUGAAUUUGGGUGACUGAUGCAUAGUUAUAGUAUAUCGCCGAGGAGCCCCUGUCCAUUUGUUAGGUCAAAUCUAGGAUCGCCAAGGUUCGCUGGAAAACGAUCAUGUUGUUGUCUGGUCUACAUGGUGUGACAAAGAUACUCUGAAUAUCUUUCUUCCCCCUCAAAAUGACGGCAAAAGCUUUGCCGUGAAGUUUAUCAGAAGGGAGAAAAAAUUGGCACAUAUAUGGGUUUCAUAACUAGUGAAGUGUACUAUCUGAUGAUAUGCCGGUGAUAUGCCGGUGACCUCGUCAGGUGUUACAUCUCGGCUAGAGAUUGCCAACACAAAACCAACAAUAUAUAACUGCCCCGCGAUGAGGAUCAAAACGACACUUCCUAGGUAGAGAAUCGAUUGUCUCGAGGUAGUCUGCUGGUCGGAUGAACAGGGAGUUUGACAAUCCUGAUUAUUUGUAAUGAAUUAUCUGUUCUGAGUGUAAAAUGACUUGUAUGCUCGUAUAGCUCAUGAUAGCAUGAGCUCACUUGAUUCAUGAGUAUAUACAGAAGAUGAUUUUGUCAAUAUUUUUUAAAGUUUGUAAAACAUAAAUUUUGAUAAAACAAUUACUUAUGACCCCACCUGUCAUCUCUCAAUUUAUCCUUUUCUUUGUUUUUGACUUCUUGGCAUUCCUCUUCCCUAGCCUCAAAACUGCCAUCCGGCAAAAUUUAACAUCUCCGUUAAAUCUCAGAUCAAUUAAUCGCAAUUGAAGCGAUAGAAGGAAAUAGAAGAGAUAGAAGGAAAGAGUCGCUGCCGCUCAUCCUGCUGCCGAGCGUGCUGCCUGCUGCCGUCCCCUGCUGGCCCUGCCGCGCCGCGCCGCAGCUGCUCCCCUGCUGGCUGCGCCGUGACGCAUCGCCGUCUGCCCGCCUGCUGCGCGGCGCCGCACCUGCUCCCUGCUGGCUGCACCGCCGCCCGCCCACCUGCUGCGCCACGCCGGAGCUGGAGGAGCUGGGGGAGCGCGCGAGGGAGCGGCGGCCGGAGCUGGCGGAGGGCAGAGGCGGCCGGGCGUGCGCAGGCGGAGGGAAGGCGGGUUGCGGAGGGGAGGGGAGGGGUGCGGAAUCGGUGGGAUUUUUCCCAAAAGCGACGUGAGGGACGAUUCUGUGGCGUAGUGUUGUUGGGGCUGCGGUAAAAAUCGCUGCCGGUGAAGGAGGUCGAGAAUCGUGACGUUGGAGAGCUUCCUCGAUUAUUUUCGCGAGAAUCGGCUGGAGAAGCUGAAACAAACACCCUGCUCGCUUCACUUGAAAGGACGCGUCAGAUCCCGUGUACGACCCCUCAAAGAAGGAGCGGGCUUCCGUAAGCGGAAAAACUUUGUUCCAAAUUCCUAAGCUACAAAGUCAUGUUCGAAUACGUGUGUACUACAUGGUGGGGACCACCCAUUUCGAGAAAGAAGUUUGGGCAACGUUGAAUAGAUUGCCAUCGGAUCGAGAGAAACUUGUGCUAGUGACCCUUGAAACAUAUGGUUUUGCAUUUUUGACAUCACUUUGCAGUUUUGGCACUUCAAACGUUAGGUUGCUUGAUUUAGCAUUUUCAUCUUUUUAGCAUGUAUUUAACUUGGGAUCAACUGAAAUGGGUUAGCUUCGUCCCUAUUUUUUUAAGUCUGACUCGUCUUGAAUAGUUCCAUUUCAAUUUUUUGUUUGGUUAGAGAGGUUACGAAGG
rnacentral:lncRNA from 1 species